rnacentral:lncRNA from 1 species
UGUUUUUUUUCCAUGUUCUUUACGAGACUUUAGUCAUAGAGUUCUCUUUCUCUCUUCAUUUUUAACACAAUUCAUCUUCUUCAGAUUCACCAUGUCAUUUUCUUUUUCUAUUUCUCUCUUCCUCUCCUAAAAUAAUCUUCACCACCUUUCAUAAAAUAUAUCAUCAUAUCUUUUUAUUUUGUUCACCCACAUGUUCUCUCUUUCUUUUUCCAUAGAAAUCUCUCUAUCUCUCAUUCUUUAUUUUAUUUUUUACCUGAAUUCUCCGUCAAUGUCGUUGUGAUAUAAGAGAUUAGAUUUGAUUUUAAAACAAAUGUCUGAUUUUAAAAUGCAUGUAUUUUAAGAACAAAACAUGUUAUUAACACUGAUAUAUUAAUAUUUGUCAUGCUAUCCCACAAAAACUCAUGAAAUAAAUAAAUAUUUGUCAUGUUAUCCAAUAAAAACCCAUGUAAUAUUGUAACAAUUCUAUAUGUUUUUUUAAACUUCGCGAUCGAUAAGAGAAUUGUAUGCUUUUUAUAAAUAUUUUGUGCUAUUUCAGAAAAACACAUUAUUUCAGAGAAACAUAUAUAUCGUUUUGUAUGUAUUUUAAAGAAUUGCAUGCUUUUUUGUAAAUAUAUCAUGUUAUUUUAGACAAAUAUAUAAAAACUUUAUAACUACAACCACCGAUAUUUUUGUAAAAACAAGAAAAUCUAAAGAUAUUUUAGUAUUUUAUCCACCAUAGAAAAUGUUAUUUACCUAAGUUUCCUGACACAAGGCUAUUGUCUCAAUUCUUUUCAAUUCCAUGGUUACUCUCUAAUAUUACCUUUAGAAUGGUUUUCCCUACCCUUAACCUUAAAACCUUUCUUUCAAGCCUAUGUACUAUUUGUGAGUGAGGCCUCUUGUAUGAAAAUGCUAUAGAUUUUGAAAUCUUCAAAGUAUUGAGAACGACAAGGUUUUAGCUCUUGUUUUUAGCUAGCUUUUGGAACAUCUUUGGACUAGCUACUAGGUUGGGAAUGAAAGAUUUAAGUGGUUAGAUUGAAUACUUGGGAUUGGGUUUGAAAAAAAAAAAAAAAAAAAAAAAAAAAACCUCUUUUUCUCUUAGUUUUUGUUGCUUUGCAUUCAUAUUUUGGCAUAUAGUAUUGCAUUUGCAUUUGCAUUUGUUUUUUUUAGGUACAUGAGUGGAGUUUAAAGUUUUGGAAGUAAAAUGGAGCAAAUGGAGCAAACAAAGGAGCUAAAAGAUUGCAAAGUGGCCAAAGAAGAGAAGCUAGUAGGAAUCUACCAAACUGGUCGAUUGCGUGGUCGAUUGGUCAGGACCAGAGCUACGGAGGAAUAUGAAUCUACCAAAGUGGUCGAUUUCGUGGUCUACUGGUCAAGGAUUAAUGUUGCGGACGAUAUUGAAUCUACCAAGUGAUCUAUUGCUUGGUCGAUUUCCUUCCUUAACCGGAUCAAAACCCGGUUUGUUCCGGGUUAAUCCGGUUUAUUUUCUCGUUACUAUAAAUACUCUUAACCUAGUUUUAGAGAGAGGGAGCUUUUGUUUAGGGAUAAAAACUUCUCUUGAAGGUUCUUUAUCUAAGGUUUUUGUAUGAAUGUUGAGUUCUUAAGUUUCUAUAUCAAGUAUUUCUUUUAAAUUUCUCAUCUAUUCUCUAAUGAUUAUGGCUUUACAAAGAUCAAACCAAUUCCUUUGUAUGAUCAUGAUCAUGAGUGAGUAGUCUCCUAGAGUUCUUUGGUUAGGGUAGAUUAGGAUGGUUUAGAUGUUGGGUUAUGGAGUUUAGGGCUAGAUUACUUAAGAUUCUUACUUAUUGGUUGCUUUUAAGGCUAGAUCAACCUUGAUCAUGAUGAUUUAGACAUUAGGAAUUUCAUGCCCGGAAGGUGUUCGAUGAAAUUCCCAAACCAAAAUCUUUAAGUGCUUUUCAUACCUUACCUUUGGAAAUUGUUGAUUAGGGUGAUUAGUGGCUAGAUAGACUUGUUAUUUAUGCUUAUUGAUCAUUUGAUUGCCUUUGGAAAUUGUUGAUGAUUGAUUGAUUAGUAAAGGGAUUAAUAUCAUGGAAAUGUAUUAGUCUUGUUUAGUGUUCUAUGGCCUAAGGAUCAUUGCUUGUUAGAAGUUGUUUGUUGCUCCAUAAUCCAUCUCUUUAUCAUUUCUAAUCGAUUACCUUAACCCGAGAAUUCGUCUUUAGUUUUCGCUUAGUAAUUUGUUAAUUUCCCGCUUUGUUUACUUUCGAAACUUGUUGGUCUUUUGUUUCUUGCUUUCUCUUAUCUUGUUUUGCAUUGUUUGUUUAAUAAUGCAUUGUUACUAAGAUUUAGAAUACUCAAAAUCAUCUUGUUAGCUUAGAUUAAGCAAGUGUGUGUAUUCUUGGUGAGUUGAUUAAAUUGCAAAUUGUGGUUCGAUAAUUAAUUGAAAGAAAUGCUACAUCAAUUUGGCGCCGUUGCCGGUUUGCAAUAGUUAUUAGCCAUUAGGAUUUCAUAUUUGUUUGAGACUAAGCCUUUUACUUUAGUUACUAAUCCUUUAUACUUGAUCUUUGCUCUUGUUUUAAAGGUGUAUGAACCUACGAAGUCACGGUCGAGCAAACUUAGUAGAAGAGAUUAGUGACAUCCGCCGGUUUGAAAGAGAAAACGCUAGAGCAAGAAGAGAACGAGAACGACUUGAACACCUUGCUCGGUUAGGCGUCAUGAAUGAACCCGGAAUUGAGGGCCAUAAUGGAAAUGGCCAAGCUAAUGGGGAUGGUCAUAUGCCACAACAUCAACCAAGAGCUCAUCAACCAAUUGGAGCCUUUGAUGAGCCAAACAUCCGUGGAAAUAGAAACGGUAUUCAAGCUCCUCCGGUUGAGAACAACAACUUUGAGAUUAAAUCAAGCCUCAUCAACAUGGUUCAAAGCUCUAAGUUUCAUGGUUUAUCAAUGGAGGACCCUUUGGAUCAUCUAGACCAAUUUGAUAUGUUGUGUAGCACGGUGAAAAUCAAUGGGAUCUCGGAAGAUGCAUUCAAACUUAGACUCUUCCCGUUUUCUCUUGGAGAUCGAGCUCGUAUUUGGGAGAAGAAUCUACCUCAAGGCUCCAUCACCUCUUGGGACCAAUGCAAAAGAGCCUUCCUCUCAAAGUUCUUCUCCACAACAAGAACGGCAAGGUUGAGAAAUGAGAUAUCUAGCUUCACUCAAAGGAGUAAUGAAAGUUUUUGUGAAGCUUGGGAAAGGUUCAAGGGAUACAAAAUGCAAUGCCCUCAUCAUGGUUUCUCUAAAGAAUCUAUACUAAGUACCUUGUAUAAAGGAGUUCUCCCUAAAUUUCGCAUGUUGUUGGACACGGCAAGCAAUGGAAACUUCUUGGGCUAAGAUAUUGAUGAUGAUUUGUCUUUGGUAGAGAAUCUAGCUCAAAGUGAUGGUAACUAUGGUGAAGAUUAUGACCGCACUCCAAGAGAAAGUAAUGAGAUGAGCGAUCUACACCGCAAAGAGAUCAAAGCAUUGAAUGAAAAGAUGGAUAAGAUGAUUCUUGCUAAUCAAAAACCGAUCCAUUUUGUAUCCGAGAGUGAUGUCUACCAAGGUUAUCAAGAGAAUAUGGAAGGUUGUGUAGAGGGACAAGAAGAGGUCAACUAUGUUAGUGGACAAGGCUACAACAAAUUCAACCCUAACUAUAGGAAUCACCCCAACCUUUCAUAUAGGAGCAAUAAUGUGGAGAACCCACAAGAUCAAAGCUACCCACCUUUAAAGCCUCCCGGUUUCACACAACAACCUAACUAUCAACCUAAACCCCAAGGGAACUUCCAACCAAAGCCUCAAGCCUACCACCACAACCAACACCAAGGGAGUUCAUCAAAUCCUCCACCUCAAGCGAAUGAUACAAACGCUCUUCUUAAACAAAUUUUAGAAGGGCAAGGAAGAGGAGCAAUCGAUCUCGCCACACAAAUGAAAGGAAUGCACACCAAAGUCGAUGACCUUUAUGGUGAGCUCAAUGCCAAAAUAGAGCGUUUGAAUGCCCAUGUUUAUAGCCAAUCCUCAUCCACUUCCAAGCGGCCAAUGGGAACUUUACCGGGUAAACCGGAACCAAAUCCGAAAGAGUAUAUAAAUGCUAUAACCCUUAGAAGUGGUAAAGAGUUGCCGAGUGGAGAGCUCAAUAGAGACAUUGAGCCUAAACAAAAGGAGGGUGUGAUUGAGAUUGAUGAAGAGGAGGUAUUGAAUGAGAAAGUUUGUCAAGAUGAGAUUGAUGUUGAAAAAUGUAUUGUUGACAAAGGGAAGGGUAAAAUAGUUGAAGAGUCUAAAGAAGACAAAACCCAAGAAGAAAUCUCCAAGAAGGAUAAAAGUUUUGCUAAGAAAGAGACUCUAUUUGUACCUCCACCUUAUGAACCAAAGUUACCAUUCCCGGGUCGUUUCAAGAAGCAACAACUAGAGAAGUAUAGAGCAAUGUUUGAUGAGCAAAUGAAAGAAGUUACUAUCACCAUGCCUAUCAUAGAUGCGUUCUUGUUAAACCCGACUUACAACAAGUUUCUUAAAGAUGCGGUUGUAGAAAAGAAGAAAACAUUACAAGGUAUGGUCCUUUUGACUCAUGAAUGUAGCGCUAUCUUCCAAAACAAGAUUGUAGCAAAGAAGCUUGAUGAUCCGGGUAGCUUUACACUUCCAUGUGCUCUUGGUCCUUUAUCCUUUGACCAUUGCUUGUGUGAUCUUGGUGCUAGUGUUAGCUUGAUGCCUCUUUCGGUUGCCAAACGCUUAGGUUUCACAAGAUUUAAGGAUUGUAGAAUUUCACUUGUCCUUGCGGACCGUUCUAUUAGAACCCCGGUUGGUUUGCUUGAGGAUCUUCCGGUCAUGAUUGGUCAUUUUGAGAUACCAACGGACUUUGUGGUCCUUGAGAUGGAUGAGGAACCGAAAGACCCACUUAUCUUAGGACGCCCAUUUUUGAGAACCGCGGGAGCAAUGAUUGAUGUGCGAAGAGGAAUGAUUAAAUUGAACUUGGGUAAGGAGGUAUUAACCUUUGAUAUAAAAAAAACGAUGAAGAAACCUACCAUUGAAAACCAAGAAUUUUAUAUCGAAGAGAUAGAAGCUUUAGCGGAUGAGCUUUUGGAAGAGCUAGCAAUGGAGGAUCCACUUCAUAGUACUUUGACUAUAAAACAAGGAGAGUUUGGAUUACUUGAAAGUGAUAGUGAGGGGUAUGAGAAGAUACUUGAUUCUCACAAGCCUUCUAAUGAAGAUGGAACCUUCCUUGAGUUGAAAGAAGUUAGUCAUGAGGUUAAUGUUGUUGAGAUUGAAGAGGUGACAAACAAGGAGGGAGCUAGCAAUGGUAAGUCUAGCAUAGAUGGAGAUUGGAGUGAACUCAAGGCUCCAAAGGUGGAACUAAAACCUCUUCCCAAGGGGCUAAGGUACGCAUUUCUUGGAACAAACUCUACUUAUCCGGUUAUAAUUAAUGACGAACUUAGUGAUUUAGAGGUCUCCACCCUAAUAGAGGAAUUGAAAAAGUAUAGAAAAGCUAUUGGUUAUUCUCUUAGUGAUAUUAAAGGAAUUUCGGAAACUCUUUGUGUGCAUAGGAUUCAUCUUGAGAAUGAGUCAAUGACUUCCGUCGAACAUCAAAGGCGGUUAAAUCCUAACCUUAGAAAUGUAGUACGGGAAGAGAUCCUCAAACUCUUGGAUGCGGGAAUAAUUUACCCGAUCUCGGAUAGCACAUGGGUUUCUCCGGUUCAUGUGGUCCCAAAGAAGGGUGGAGUCACGGUUGUAAAGAAUGAUAAUGAUGAGUUGAUCCCAACUAGAACAAUAACGGGGCAUAGGAUGUGUAUAGAUUAUCGAAAAUUGAAUGCCGCUUCUAGGAAAGAUCAUUUUCCUUUACCGUUUAUUGAUCAAAUGCUAGAGAGGUUAGCCAAUCACACCCACUAUUGUUUUCUAGAUGGAUAUUCGGGAUUCUUUCAAAUUCCGAUUCAUCCAAAUGACCAAGAGAAAACAACUUUCACAUGCCCUUAUGGUACAUUUGCAUAUAGGAGAAUGCCAUUUGGUUUGUGUAAUGCUCCCGCUACAUUUCAAAGAUGCAUGAUGUCUAUAUUCUCGGAUCUAAUUGAAAAUGUGGUUGAAGUUUUUAUGGAUGACUUCUCCGUCUAUGGAGACUCUUUUGCCUCUUGUCUUUCUAAUUUGUGUAGGGUCUUGAAACGUUGUGAGGAGACUAACCUUGUGUUAAAUUGGGAGAAGUGCCACUGCAUGGUUAGAGAUGGGAUAGUAUUGGGUCACAAGAUCUCCGAGAAGGGUAUAGAGGUUGAUAGAGCUAAGAUUGAUGUGAUGACCAAUCUAGCACCGCCAAAUUCGGUUAAGGGAAUAAGAAGUUUUUUGGGCCAUGCCGGGUUUUAUCGAAGGUUCAUCAAGGACUUCUCCAAAAUAGCAAGACCACUUACAAGACUAUUGUGUAAAGAAGUUGCUUUUGUGUUUGAUGAGGAAUGUCUAGAUGCUUUCAAAAAGAUAAAGAAAGCUUUGGUUAGUGCCCCAAUAGUGCAAGCACCGGAUUGGAAUCUACCAUUUGAGAUCAUGUGCGAUGCUAGUGACUAUGCGGUUGGAGCGGUUCUUGGUCAAAGAAAAGAUAAGAAGCUUCAUGUCAUCUACUAUGCAAGUAGGACUCUUGAUGAUGCACAAGUUAAGUAUGCCACCACCGAAAAAGAGCUCCUUGCUAUAGUGUUUGCAUUUGAGAAGUUUCGAUCAUACUUGGUUGGUUCUAAGGUGAUAGUUCAUACGGAUCAUGCGGCAUUAAGACAUCUAUUAGCCAAGAAGGAUGCGAAACCAAGGCUUUUGAGAUGGGUUUUGCUUCUACAAGAAUUUGACUUGGAAAUUAAAGACAAGAAAGGGAUUGAGAAUGGUGUUGCGGAUCAUCUCUCUCGGUUGAGGAUUGAUAAUGAUAUACCAAUCGAUGACUCUCUUCCCGAGGAGCAACUAUUGGCAAUUAGGCUUUAGGAUGCAAGUCAUGAGACCUAUAAAAAACUUGAGGAGGUGAAGACAUUGAAUGAAAAUGGCCCAUGGUAUGCGGAUUAUGUUAACUAUUUGGCAUGUGGAAAAGAACCUCCAAAUUUGAGUAGCUAUGAAAAGAAGAAGUUCUUGAAAGAUAUAAACCACUUCUAUUGGGAUGAACCAUUUCUUUAUACUCUAUGUAAAGAUAAGAUCUAUAGAAGAUGUGUCUCGAAAGAAGAAGUAGAAGAAAUUUUGCUCCAUUGCCACGGUUCAAGCUAUGGAGGUCAUUUUGCAACUUUCAAGACGGUUACCAAGGUUCUACAAGCGGGUUUAUGGUGGCCAACGAUGUUUAAAGACGCACAAGAGUUCAUUUCGAAGUGCGAUUCAUGUCAAAGAAAAGGAAACAUUAGUAGACGAAAUGAGAUGCCCCAAAAUCCAAUUUUAGAGGUUGAGAUCUUUGAUGUAUGGGGAAUAGAUUUUAUGGGACCAUUUCCUUCUUCAUAUGGAAAUAGCUACAUACUUGUGGCGGUUGAUUAUGUGUCAAAAUGGGUUGAGGCGAUUGCUAGUCCAACUAACGAUGCAAAAGUUGUGUUGAAGCUAUUCAACACUAUAAUAUUUCCAAGAUUUGGUGUUCCUAGAGUGGUCAUAAGUGAUGGAGGGAAGCAUUUCAUCAACAAGGUCUUUGAGAGUCUACUCAAGAAGCACGGAGUGAAGCACAAGGUCGCCACGCCUUAUCAUCCGCAAACAAGUGGUCAAGUUGAGAUUUCUAACCGGGAAAUCAAAGCUAUUCUAGAGAAGACGGUUGGGACUACAAGAAAAGAUUGGUCGGUAAAACUUGAUGAUGCAUUGUGGGCAUAUAGAACCGCCUUUAAGACUCCGAUAGGUACUACUCCGUUCAAUCUUCUCUAUGGAAAAUCAUGCCAUUUGCCGGUUGAGCUCGAAUAUAAGGCUUUGUGGGCAGUAAAGCUUUUGAAUUUUGAUAUCAAAACCGCCGAGGAGAAGCGGUUGAUUCAAUUGAAUGACCUUGAUGAAAUCCGCCUUGAAGCUUAUGAGAACGCCAAAAUUUACAAAGAGAGGACUAAGGCAUUUCACGACAAGAAGAUCGUUCCAAGAGACUUUAAAGUAGGUGAUCAAGUGUUGUUGUUCAAUUCUCGUUUGAGAUUAUUUCCGGGAAAGCUCAAAUCUCGUUGGUCGGGUCCAUUCAAGAUCAAAGAAGUGAGACCCUAUGGAGCCUUGGUAUUGUGGAACAAAACGGGAGGAGAAUUUGUUGUGAAUGCUCAACGCUUGAAGCCUUACUUCGCGAAUCAACACAUUGGGGAGGGAACCAAAGUUUCUCUCUUGGAGCCUCAAUCCGCCUAAUUUGUGUGGAAACGUCAAGCUUAGUGACUUUAAACAAGCGCACUUGGGAGGCAAUCCCAUGGUAUCCUUGUACAUAUUUUGAUUCUAUUUAUGUGCUUUUGGUUUGAUUAAGUUUCAGGGAAGUAUUUGGAAAAUUUCAUAUCAAGACGGGCAAGCAAAACCAUUUCUGGGCAAGCGAAUCGACCGCAUGGUCGAUUGGACGGUCGACUCAUCCAUGUCCGCAAAUCCGUCAGAUUUCUAAUCGAGCACUCAAUAGAGCAGUCAAUAGACGAGUUGGUCGAUUGGACGGUCUACUGAUUCAUGUCCGCAAAUCCGUAAAUUUUCGAAUCGACCAAUCAAUUGAUCGAUUGGUUUUGAAAGCCCAGGUAAGUCAUCUCUUGACUUCGUCGGUUCACUAGAAAUUUUCCGGUUUAGUCCCUUAACCAACCAAAACCGAAAAAAAAAAUAAUAAUAAUAAUAAUAAUAAUUCCUUCUUUUUCCUUCUCUCACGACCUCUUCCUCUCACUUUUCUCUCUUUUUUCAAACUCACUCUCUCUUUUGUUUUCAAACACACUUGCUUGUUUUUAGUGAUUCAAAUCUCUUGUUCACUUUUUUUUCUCCAUAGAACCCGAAUUUAGCAUCUCCACUCUCAGAUUGACAAGGCACAAUGGUAGAAGGCACAAAGAGAACAAACCCCAAACGUUCUAAGACAAUGACCUCCACUGAACCGCAAAGUGAACCCGUUGCUCAUUGGACUAAGGAAGAUAAGAAAGCUCUCAAAGUCAUCUCUCCACUUCCUUCAUUUCCAACGCGUUUUGCAAAUCGCGAGAUCCUAGAGAAGAUGGGUUUGCUCGAGACUAUUGACGAGUUCUUCACAAAGAUGGGACUUGGCGCCUUCACCUCCAUGGAUCACCCUACAUUCAGUGAGCCUACAGUUGAUUUCUUUAGCACCAUGGAGUACACAUUUACGAACCCAAAGAUACCACUAGCUAAAGAAGGAAUCAUCAACUUCAAGGUCAAAACAAAGGCUUUCUCCAUAUCAAUUCCCGACCUUUGUGAAGCCUAUGGAUUUGAGAACAAAAGCGAGAUGAGCUUCCCGAAGUUUAAAGGAAUCCACUUCUUUUGGGGCGAGCUAGCAAGCGGGAAAUUCAGUUGUAACGCAAGUAUCAAGAGCGUCCGCCAUCCGGUAAUUCGUUACGCCUUGAAGCUUCUCGCGCAUGCUCUUUUUGGGAGAGGUGAAACGAGUUCUACUACGGUUUCCGAGAUGUGCUUUCUUUUUCAAGGAGUCAAAGAAUUGUUGGUAGAAGACGCGGACGAGAAUGGCGAUGGAAGGUUGGUACAUGAUGAUCUUGGAAAUGAUGUGAACUAUGGGUGCAUCUUUGCUUCUUAUCUAGAGGAUUAUAAGAACCGGCUAAUCAAGGGCAAGACGAAAUCCAUCUACAUUGGUGGUACUCUCACACCACUUUUUGUUAAAGCGGGAGUAGAUCUUUCUCCAUUCAAUGCUCUCCCAAAGCGUGAAUACAUUGACUAUGAGAACUUGGUGCGUUCUUGCUCUUUAAAACGUAGCGAUGAUGCUUUCAUCUACUUGUACACGGAUCGAGAGGAUAACAAGUUGGAAUGCAUACUACCCUCAAAGGAGAUCACAAAUGUAGAGAGUCAUGAAGACAUUAUGUUUUUGCCAAGUAAGGAAUAUCAAGUACCAAAUUUGGAGCAAUUUAUGGAGAUUGAAGAAGAAGACUUGCCACCAUCUCCACGAGAUGACCCUUACAACCUCAACAAGUGUGAUCUUCCCGAAUUCACAUUUGUGCCAAAGACCAAGAUGGAGAAGUUUCUUCAAUCCGUCAUCAAGUCUCAAAGGAAGAUAAACAAGUGGAAAUCUUAUGCAAUAGGAAAGCUACUUAAGAAGGUGAAGAAGCUCCAACCACCGGAUUAUGUCUCUUCCGAGGAUGAACUUGUUUUUCCUUCAAAUGAGGAGGAAGAUAGAGACAAUAUUUUGGAGAGUGAUGAGAAUAAUGAAACGCCCGCCACUUCAUCACACUCGUCUAGGAGGAAGAACGCCUCGAGAGACCACUCCUACAUGCCUUAGCCACUCCACGGUAUCACUUGUAUAUACGACUUUAUUUCUUUUAGUUCUAUUUAUUUAUUUUCGUUAGUCUUUUCCUCAUAUUUUUCUCUCACACCGAGACGGUGUGAAAUAAGUUUGGGGGAGAGACUAACCAUCUAACGUUGUGUUUUGUUUUGAUUUUAUUUCUUUGAGUCUUGCAUUGUCAAUAUCUAUGUUUUGAGAAAAAAUAAAAAAAAAAUCUGAAAAUUUUGAAAAAUCCAAAAAAAUCAUGUAGGUUUGCAUAUUAAUUUUCUCUUUUAGAAUUGAGUCUAGAAGCAUCUAGUGUGCAUUUGCAUUUGCAUAGGGGAUAAUGAUUUAAUUACCUUGUAGAAAUUCAAGCUUAGGAUUGAACUUAAAGCCCUUGAUCACAGUUAAUCGUUGCUUGAUCAUCUUGGAAAAAAUGGAAAAUCCAUGCUUAGACUUUUGCGUUUCUCGAAAGCAAUUUCUACUUGUGUGAAGCUUACAUGACUUUUGAAAUAUCUCUAUGAAUUUGGACUUAAUUUGAUAUUGAUUUCUCGCUUAUGGAUCCUAAAUGCAUUCUCAUGGUAGUCUAAAAGACUCAUUCGGGUUAUCUUAUUCGUUUUGCCAAUCUUUUGUUAACCCGAAUGGCCAUUCUCACCUUUAGAAUGGUUUUCCCUACCCUUAACCUUAAAACCUUUCUUUCAAGCCUAUGUACUAUUUGUGAGUGAGGCCUCUUGUAUGAAAAUGCUAUAGAUUUUGAAAUCUUCAAAGUAUUGAGAACGACAAGGUUUUAGCUCUUGUUUUUAGCUAGCUUUUGGAACAUCUUUGGACUAGCUACUAGGUUGGGAAUGAAAGAUUUAAGUGGUUAGAUUGAAUACUUGGGAUUGGGUUUGAAAAAAAAAAAAAAAAAAAAAAAAAAAAAACCUCUUUUUCUCUUAGUUUUUGUUGCUUUGCAUUCAUAUUUUGGCAUAUAGUAUUGCAUUUGCAUUUGCAUUUGUUUUUUUUAGGUACAUGAGUGGAGUUUAAAGUUUUGGAAGUAAAAUGGAGCAAAUGGAGCAAACAAAGGAGCUAAAAGAUUGCAAAGUGGCCAAAGAAGAGAAGCUAGUAGGAAUCUACCAAACUGGUCGAUUGCGUGGUCGAUUGGUCAGGACCAGAGCUACGGAGGAAUAUGAAUCUACCAAAGUGGUCGAUUUCGUGGUCUACUGGUCAAGGAUUAAUGUUGCGGACGAUAUUGAAUCUACCAAGUGAUCUAUUGCUUGGUCGAUUUCCUUCCUUAACCGGAUCAAAACCCGGUUUGUUCCGGGUUGAUCCGGUUUAUUUUCUCAUUACUAUAAAUACUCUUAACCUAGUUUUAGAGAGAGGGAGCUUUUGUUUAGGGAUAAAAACUUCUCUUGAAGGUUCUUUAUCUAAGGUUUUUGUAUGAAUGUUGAGUUCUUAAGUUUCUAUAUCAAGUAUUUCUUUUAAAUUUCUCAUCUAUUCUCUAAUGAUUAUGGCUUUACAAAGAUCAAACCAAUUCCUUUGUAUGAUCAUGAUCAUGAGUGAGUAGUCUCCUAGAGUUCUUUGGUUAGGGUAGAUUAGGAUGGUUUAGAUGUUGGGUUAUGGAGUUUAGGGCUAGAUUACUUAAGAUUCUUACUUAUUGGUUGCUUUUAAGGCUAGAUCAACCUUGAUCAUGAUGAUUUAGACAUUAGGAAUUUCAUGCCCGGAAGGUGUUCGAUGAAAUUCCCAAACCAAAAUCUUUAAGUGCUUUUCAUACCUUACCUUUGGAAAUUGUUGAUUAGGGUGAUUAGUGGCUAGAUAGACUUGUUAUUUAUGCUUAUUGAUCAUUUGAUUGCCUUUGGAAAUUGUUGAUGAUUGAUUGAUUAGUAAAGGGAUUAAUAUCAUGGAAAUGUAUUAGUCUUGUUUAGUGUUCUAUGGCCUAAGGAUCAUUGCUUGUUAGAAGUUGUUUGUUGCUCCAUAAUCCAUCUCUUUAUCAUUUCUAAUCGAUUACCUUAACCCGAGAAUUCGUCUUUAGUUUUCGCUUAGUAAUUUGUUAAUUUCCCGCUUUGUUUACUUUCGAAACUUGUUGGUCUUUUGUUUCUUGCUUUCUCUUAUCUUGUUUUGCAUUGUUUGUUUGAUAAUGCAUUGUUACUAAGAUUUAGAAUACUCAAAAUCAUCUUGUUAGCUUAGAUUAAGCAAGUGUGUGUAUUCUUGGUGAGUUGAUUAAAUUGCAAAUUGUGGUUCGAUAAUUAAUUGAAAGAAAUGCUACAUCAGUAGGUUUCGAAGUUAACUCAUCCUGUAUUUGGGGUUUCUUAGUUUACACGUUUCCUUUGGGGCAGAUCCCUAUUUGCUCUGGUUUAUCGAAAUUAAACCGGUGAUUUUUAAGAACUGGAUGAAAUAAAACAUGAAAACUUAAAAAUUGAAUUUUUCGAUUCCUUUGCAUGUCUUGUCGAAACCUGAAAGCUUGAGUAUUUUCUUUAUAUUUUUCGUUUGAGAGCCAAAAACACAAGCAAUUAAGCAAAUCCCAACUCUCUUUUUCAUUGAAAUCCCGAAACAAUUAGGUCGUGGAUUAAGCUUUUGUAACAAGGUAGGUUUGGAGGUUUACUCAUUAUAUUUUUUUAGGGUUCCAUAAGAUUCCUAUUUGCGUUGUGAGCUCUAAUUUUCCCUGUAUUGAAGUUAGAAGUUCCUGUUCUCAGUUUACCAGUUUAUACUCUCUUUGUUUCGUGCAGAGCAGAUGGAUCACUUAAGCAAUUUACCAGACGAGCUUCUUUGCCAUAUUAUGUCCUUCCUUACCACCAAGGAGGCUGCUUUGAUAUCGGUUCUCUCCAAAAGGUGGCGCAAUUUGAUUGCAUUUGUCCCUAAUCUUGAUAUUUUUGACUGUGAUAUUCUGCAUUGGGAGGUGCGUAAAGAGGAAAGGGACGAUAUUCGACAGCUCUUCAUGGAUUUUGUGGAUAGAGUUUUGGCAUUGCAAGGUAACUCUCCCUUAAAGAAAUUCUCCCUCUGUUGUGGCGGCGGUUCUUAUUCGGAUAGAGUGGAUUGUUGGAUACAGAAUGUGAUGGUGCGUGGUGUUUCGGAGCUUGAUCUAUCAAUGAUUUUUGAUACCUCUUAUCAUAUGUAUCCACAAGUUUUCGAGAACAAGAAACUAGUUAAGCUCCAUUAUCUGGAUUUGAUAUUCGUUGCUUGGAUGGGAGCAUUUUCUUACCAAUGCUUAAAACUCUCCUUCUUGAAUCAGUUUUGUUAUCUGUUGAGAAUUUUGAGAUUUUUCUUCGUGCUUUGCCUGCGCUUGAGGAAUUAGUCAUGAAUCAUAUAUACUGGAAAGAAUUGGAUGUGAAUGUGCAUGUAUCUGUAUCAAGUGCAAGCCUCAAGACCCUAACAAUAAAAUGCAUCGUUUGUUUACAUACUAAGUCAUUUGAUACACCUAGUCUUGCUUACUUAUCUUACUCUGAUUAUGCCAUGGGAGAUUAUCCCGUAGCUAAAAUGGAAAACUUGUUUGAGGCUCGAAUCAGCCUUUUUGUACCUGAAGACGAUAUCAGCCGAGUAAGAGCGCCAAACAAUGAUUUGUUAGAGGAUGAUGAGUACAAUCAUGCAUGUUCUCCGAUAUGAAAAUGUGGGGAAGCUUAUGAAUAGCAUUCGAAAUGUUCGGUAUCUCUAUUUCUCUCGUGAUACUCUUGAGGUUAGUGUUUUUGUUCUUUUCUCUAUUAGCUGGUCUUGGUAAAAUAAAUGAAAGAUAACCAGCACUUCGUCUCAAUUUAUGGAGCAUGGCAGUCAUGUUUGUUCAAGUCCUAUUUUUAACAAAUAAGCAAAAGUCUAAUUAUGGUUUGUCUUGUUAUCAGGUGCUUUCUCUAUGCUGUGAAUCGAUGCCAGUGUUCAAAAACCUCAAAUCUUUAUCUAUCAAGAGUGUUGAGAGUCGAGGAUGGCAAGCAAUGCCAGUUCUUCUAAGGAACUGUCCACAUUUAGAAACUCUAGUCCUUGAGGUAUAGAAAUAACUAAUUUACCAAACAUGUACAAAGAUAGAGUUCACACAUUGAAACCUUAAAUGUCUCCUUUAUGCCUUCAGGCUCUCUUGCACCAUGUAACUGAUAAAUGCGGGGAUGCUUGUGCCUGCGUCUCUCGGGAGGAGAAAGGUCGUUCGCUCAAAUCUUGUCCAGUAAAAGUGUUAGAGAUUAAAGAGUUUCAAGGAACAAUGAAAGAGAUGCACAUGAUAAAACAUUUCCUGGACUAUCUUCCGUGUUUGAAGGAGAUGAAAAUCUCCUAUAUGAAAAAGAAUGAUCAUACUACACAGUUCAGAGUCAUCCCUCAAGUUAUUGCAGAGAUGGUGGAACACUACAACAAGUUAUCUAAUUGCAAUGUCCAGCUUGUAGUGAGUGGUUAAUUUUAUAAAAAGUUGACAGCACAUUGAUUCAGCCAUUUAUGAUCUCGCUUGUGGUAUAAUCUUUCACUUCCCUAGCAUUUUGCUUUGAGUUCUCUUUACGUUUUAGAUUUUGUGGACGAAUCGUUAAGAGUGAAUUAUUUUAGAGCAGAACACCGAUGUUUAAUAUUUUUUUCCUUGGACAUAGUGCUCAAUUGUUUUGUUUUAUCGCAAAAUCACGGAUGCAAUACAUACAUGUUUGACACUAAGCGAUGUGAUAUACUUCUAAGAACUCAAAACUCAAGCAUUCCCGGUUUACCAAAAUUAAACCUGUAAAAGAACCGGAUAAAAUUGAACCAGACUCCAAUUUUGUUCAACUCUUAAAAUUGGAUGCCUUUUCGUUGUCGAACUCGAACCUGAAAGCUUGGGUCUCUCUUUUCACUGAAAUCCUAAUGAUCCUGCAAAGCUCAGUGUCACUGAUGUUUCUGAAGUUAUCACGGGGGUCGGGGGACAUGAUGGAACACUACGAAAAGUCAUCGACUUGCCAUGUCCAGCUCCUAGUGGAUGCUUACUUGUAUAAGAAGUGGACUGCACAAUGAAGUCUCUAAAGAGCAAAAGUCGCUCUCCUUGAAACUUGACUCAGUUUGGUUUUCUAGUGGUGAGUUUCAGAUGCUAUUUUUUGGUUUCCCUGCCCUUCCGGAAUUAGACAUAGCAGAGGUAUACUUCCGUCUAAAAUGAAGAAAGCAUUUCUCUGGACCUUUUCUUGUGUUUGUAGGAGAGCAGGGAUAUACAUAUAUAUACCAAAGAGAAUGAUUUUAUAGACUUCAAAGUCUCUGGAAUGUUUAAACUCGUCGCAACAAGUUUCAUAGUUUUGAUAUUUAAAAAGUGUAUGGAUUAGUGCACACUGAUGAGUCUCUCAUAGUCUAUUCUUUGGUUAACUUUGCUUUCGUUCUCUGAGUUUCUUUUUUACUUUAAGCAAUACUUCUACAUUUGGGCCUAAAUCUGUUUAAGCAAUGUAGCCCAAAGAUCAACCCGUUCCGGUUUAUCGAAACUACACCGGCGAUUUUAAAGAACAAAACCCUCAAUUUCCAUAUAUUUAUUUAAUUGGUUUUUACCUCUCUUUUUUGGCAAGUUUCUAUUACUUUUGGUAAUCAAAAUGUAAAUCCAAAACUAUCUUCAUUUAUAUAAUAGUAACAUUUUAUCAAAAAAAAAAAAAAAACUCACGUCUUCCUCUUAAAAAUUGGAUGCUUCUCUGAUGCCUUUGCAUGUCUAUGUCGAACCUGAAAGCUUGGGUAUUUGCUUCAUAUCUCCUCCUUUUUAAAGAACCGGAUGAAAUAAAACCCUAAAUUAAGAAAAUCCCAACUCUCUUUUUCACUAAAAUCCCUACAAAAUAGGUCUUGGAUAAAACUUUUGUAGCAAGGUAGGUUUCGAGGUUUACUCAUUAAUUAUGUUUUGGGGGUUCUUAGUCCAUAAGAUUUGUAUUUGUGUUGUUAGCUCUAACUUUCCCUCUAUGAAAGUUCAUGUUCGAAUCCAUAAGAUUCCUACUUUACCAGUUUAACGUGUUUCUUUGCACUUGCUUGGAUUUUACAUGAAUAACCUUUCUUGUUUGGUAAGAUUCCUCUUCGUUUCGUGCAGAGAAAAUGGAUCUAUUAAGCAAUCUACCAUACGAGCUUCUUUGCCAUAUAUUGUCCUUCCUUACAACAAAAGAGGCUGCUUUGACAUCGGUUCUGUCAAAGAGGUGGCGCAAUCUAAUUGCAUUUGUCCCUAAUGUUGAUAUUGUGGACCAUGAUAUUCGAGAGCUUUUCAUGGAUUUUGUUGAUAGAGUAUUGGCAUUGCAGGGUAACUCUCCCAUUAACAAAUUUUCCCUCGAUUGUUCCGGUGUUGAUUCGGAUAGAGUGGAUUGUUGGAUACAGAAUGUGAUGGUGCGUGGUGUUUCCGAGCUUAAUUUAUCAAUCUUUGUGGAUUCGGUUUUCGAAGAUGACUAUAAUCUCUUUCCAAAAGUGUUUGAGAACAAAAAACUAGUUAAGCUCGGAUUAAGUUAUAUUUCUUGGUUGGAUGGGAGCAUUUUCUUACCAAUGCUUAAAACACUCGUUCUUGAAUCAGUUUUGUUAUCUGUUGAGAAGUUUGAGAUUCUUCUUCAUGCUUUGCCUGCGCUUGAGGAAUUAGUCAUGAAUAAUAUAUACUGGAAAGAGCGGGAUGUUGUCGAUUUGAUUGUUUCAAGUGAAAGCCUCAAGACCCUAACAAUAAACUUCAUCGUUUGUACACAUACUUUGUCAUUUGAUACACCUAUUCUUGCUUACCUAUCUUACUCUGGUUAUGUCGUGGACGAUUAUGCCGAAGCUAAAAUGGAAAACUUGUUUGAGGCUCGAAUCAGCCUUCUUGUAGUUGAAGGCGAUAUCAGCCGAGUAAGAGCGCUAAUAAACAAUGAUUUGUUAGAGGAUGAUGAGUACGAUGUUCUCCAAUUUGAAAAUGUGUGGAAGCUAAUGAAUGGUAUUCGAAAUAUUCGGUGUCUCUAUUUGUCUCCUAAUACUCUUGAGGUUAGUUUUUUUUGUUCUUUUCUCUAUUUAGCUGGUCUUGGUAAAAUAAAUGAAAGAUAACCAGUACUUCGUCUCAAUUUACGGAGCAUGGCAGUCAUGUUUCUUCGGUCCCAUUUUUAACAAAUAUAAUAAGCAAAGGUCUAAUUAUGGUUUCUCUUGUUAUGAGGUGCUUUCUCUAUGCUGUGAAUCGAUGCCAGUGUUCAAAAACCUCAAAUCUUUGUCUAUCAAGAGUGCCGAGAAUCGAGGAUGGCAAGCAAUGCCAGUUCUUCUAAGGAACUGUCCGCAUUUAGAAACUCUAGUCCUUGAGGUACGUAUAACACAAUUCAUUAAUUUGCCAAACAUGUACAAAAUAUCAUACUUUGAAUUUCUCAUUGUCACUUUUAUGCUUUCAGGGUCUAUUGCACCAUGUAACAGAUAAAUGUGGGGAUGCUUGUGACUGUGUUUCCCGAGAAGACAAAGGUCGUUCACUCACAUCGUGUCCAGUAAAAGUGUUGGAGAUUAAAGGGUUCCAAGGAACAACCAAAGAGAUGAACAUGAUAAAACAUUUCUUGGAAUAUUUUCCGUGUUUGAAAGAGCUAAAAAUGUAUAUGGAAGAGAAUGAUCCUGCACAGCUCAGAGUCCCUGAAGUUAUCACGGGGGAGAUGAUGGAACGCUACAAAAAGUCAUCAAGUUGCAAUGUCCAGCUCCUAGUAGGUGGUAAGUUGUAUAAGAAGUGGACUCCAUGAUGAAGCCUCUAAAGAAGAAAAGUUUUGGAAUUUGAUUUUGGUUUAAAUUGGCUUGAAAAACUGUUUCAAACCAAGACAAUCGGAAAGCCGUGGGUAAAGGGGAUUCUCCCAUUAAGAAAUGGGUAAAGGGGAUAGGGAUAGGGAUUCUUGCUUUUGUCCCUAAUCUUGAUAUCGAUGACAAUACUUUUCUGCAUCCGGAAAUGGGUAAAGGGGAUAGGGAAGAUAUUCGAGAGCUCUUCAUGGAUUUUGUUGAUAGAGUAUUGGCAUUGCAGGGUGAUUCUCCCAUUAAGAAAGUCUCCAUCAACUGUGUCGGUGUUGAUUCAGUUAGAGUGGAUGCUUGGAUACGUAAUGUGAUGUUACGUGGUGUUUCAGAGCUUGUUCUUUUAAUCGUUUUGGAUGUCCAGUCGAUUGGUAAGAAGUUUUGGGUGCCUCCAAAAUGUUUCGAGAGCAAGAAACUAGUUAAGCUAGAGAUAGGUUAUGGAGUUGAUAUUGGUUGGUUAGAUGGAAGCUUUUUCUUACUGAUGCUUAAAACUCUUGUUCUUAGGUUAGUUCAGUUAUCUGCUGAUAAGUUUAAGAUUCUUCUUCAUGAUUUGCCUGCGCUUGAGGAAUUAGCCAUGGGUUAUGUAACCUGGAGUGAAGAUGAUGCUGUUGUGUCAGAUGCAAGUCUAAAAGAGACUAACAAUAACUUCCAACCAUUAUGUCUGCUAUUCUUAUUAUUAUUUAGACACUUUUUCGGUUGAUACGCCGAGUCUCACUUACUUCUCUUACUCUGACUUGUUGCUAAAGACUACCCUGUAAUUAAGAUGGAAAACUAAUACACUUCUCUUACUUCACUUACUUCGGAAUUUGAUUUUUGUGUAAUUGGUGUAUAUAUAUAUCUAUAAACCAAUAAACCCCUCCUAAAUAUUCUGAAAUUCUUAGUUAUAUUAAUCAAAAUAAUACCUUUUUUUGCAAAAUUUAACCAAUUUUUUAAGUUUUUUAUUUUAUUUUCCAAAACCGAUCCAAAUCCAACACUUAUCAAUAGUCUUAAAGCUGUCCCGGAUUAUACAUGUUUGACCUCGUCACGGGGCUAAUGUUGUGAUGUCCAAUUCAUGAUCUGCGAUUCUUUGCGCGAUCAAAUCUUUAACGUGAAAAAGCUUGCUCUAUGUUUUUACCAAAGUCCUGCCCUUCAACGUGAAAAAGUUUGCUUUCUUCUGCAGCCUAACUCAAGCUGUCCCGGUUUACCGAAAUUAAACCAGUGAUUUUUAAGAACCGGAUUAAAUAAAACCCUAAUUUUGUUUUCUUAAAAUUUGGAUGUUUCGGCUUCUCCGAUGCCUUUUUCUUCAUAAAAUCAAAGAAACCAGCGAUAAAGCAACUCCCAAAUCUCUCUUUUCUUGAAAUCUCCAAUAUUUGUUUCUUGGUAAGUAUCGAAGUUUACUCAAUUCGCUUUUUAAGGUUUCGUAGUUCACAAGCUUCCUUUCGGAUGUAUUCCUAGUUGCGUUGUUAACUUAGCGUUUCUCUCUUUUAGGGUUUACCAGUUAUAAUUAAUUGCUUCCUUCUACAUGCUCGAAUUUUUACAUGAAUCUAAAGACCAAACCUUUCUCUGUUUGUAGUUGAACUGUUUGGUAAUAUACGAAGCUUUUCUAGAGAAAAUGGAUCUCUUAAGCAAUCUACCAGACGAGCUUCUUUGUCAUAUAUUGUCCUUCUUUACCACAAAGGAGGCUGCUUUGACUUCUGUUCUCUCAAAGAGGUGGCGACAUCUGUUUGCACUUGUCCCUAAUCUUGACAUUGAUGACUCUAUGUUUCUAUACCCUGAAGAGGGUAAGCGUGAUAGGAACGAAAUUCAACAGAGCUUCGUUGAAUUUGUCGAUAGAUUAUUGUUAUUGCAGGGUAAAUCUCCCACUAGAAAAGUCUCCCUCAAGUGUAUAAGUAUGUCUGAUCCAGACCGCCUAGAUGAUUGGAUAAGUAAUGUGUUGGCUCGUGGUGUUUCCGAACUUGAUCUGUCAAUCGAUUUGUGUAUGGAUGAAUACAUUCUCUUGUCUUCAAAACGUUUCGAGAGCAAGAAUCUAGUUAGGUUGAAAUUACACCGUAUUUGUAUUGGCCAACCGGAAAACCCUAUUGGUUGGUUGGCUGGGGGAAUAUUAUUACCAAUGCUUAAAACUGUCCUACUUGAGUCAGUUGGGUUUUAUGUUGAUGAGGUUUUUCUUAGAGCUUUGCCUGUUCUUGAGGAAUUAGUCAUGGUUGAUGUAUUCUGUUCUGGAGCGUUAAGGAUGUCAUCGUGUCAAAUGCAAGCCUCAAGACCCUAACAAUGAGUUCCAACCAUUAUACGGGAACUAUGUCAUUCGAUACACCUAGUCUAGUUUACUUUUGUUACUCUGACUAUGUUGCUAAAGACUACCCCUUAGUUAACAUGGAAAACUUACUUGAGGCUAGAAUCAAACUUUUGUUAACUGACGAUCAAGUCGAAAGAGCAAGAGAGCCAAAUAACGAUGGCGUGGAGGCUGAUGAGGACGAUGUUGUUCUACAAUUUGCAAAUGUGGGGAAGCUCAUGAAUGGCAUACGAAAUGUUCAGUAUCUAGUGUUUUCUGCUAAUACUCUCGAGGUCAGUUUUCUCUUCUUCUUUUCUUGAAACAUCUAUGGCAAAAUGUCUAAUUGACGUGUGUCUUGUGUUCAGGUGCUUUCUCUAUGCUUUGAAUCAAUGCCAGUGUUCAACAACCUAAAAUCGUUAACUAUUGAGGGUAAAAAGAGGCGAGGAUGGCAAGCACUGCCAGUUCUUCUAAGCAACUGUCCAUAUUUAGAAACUCUAGUCCUUGAGGUAUAAAAAAAUAACUAAUUUGCCAAAACAUGAACCAAGAUAGCUUUCAUAUAUACUUUGAAUUGAAUCUCUUAUUGUGUCCUUUAUGGUAUCACUCUUUCAGGGUCUCUUGCACUAUGUCACAGAUAAAUGCGGGGAUGCUUGUGGCUGCAUUUCUCGAGAGGAUAAGGGUCGUUCACUCACAUCUUGCCCAGUAAAAGUUAUAGAGAUUAAAGGGUUUCAAGGAAAAAAGAAAGAGAUGCACAUGAUAAAGCAUUUCUUGGUUUAUUUUCCGUGUUUGAAAGAGAUAAAAAUCUAUAUUGAAGAGAAUGCACUUGAAGUGUCUAAAGUUAUCGCAAAGAGGAUAAAUCGCUACAACAAGGUAUCGAAUUGCAACGUGCAGCUCCUGGUAAGUGGUUGCUUGUAUAAGGAGUGGAGUGCACAAUGAAGUCUUGGAAGAACGAAAGUUGUUUUGGUUUGAUUUCAUUUAAUUGGCUUGAAAACAUUUUUUACCCUAAACCAAACCAAUCGCAAAACUGUUGUUCUUUCUUCUCUUGCAUUCUUGUUGAACUCAUACAAAGCACCAGUGCACCACUAUCACGCAAAGGUUAGCUCUCACAUCUCUCACUCUCAUAUGCUCUGUUUCUCUUUCUCUGUUUUAACAGAAGCAUAUAGUUACUCUCUCUAAUCUCUGCCUCUUUUGUCUAACAUUUUAACAAAUACAUAAACGUUUUCAAAGAGAAGAGAAACAUUGAAUGUCUACAUGUUGGUAAAACUUGGAUACACUCUUACAAGACACACUCACACAUACUUAUACUACUUGUACUUGGCACACUUACACAUACAAACAUGCCUUAAUCACAUAAUUAACUCUAGACUCUACUACCUUGAAACUCUAACCACAACACUUGCACACUGCUUUACUUUAAUUAAACUUCAACCUCAAGCUAACCCAAAAAACACACUUUACUCUUGUUUGGGCCUUAACGAAAGCUGCAGCCACACAAGCCCAACAUAUCUUUAUGUUGACUUAGCUUCUUCUCCUUUGGCUCGAUUUCGUCUUCUUUCUUCAUCGUCUUUCUCUUUUACAGGUUUAAUCAAAGGCUCAAAUCUUCUUUCGUGCAGAGAAGAUGGAUCAUGUUAGCAGUCUACCAGACGGUGUUCUUUGUCAUAUAUUGUCCUUCCUCACCACAAAGGAAGCUACGUUGACUUCCAUUCUCUCCAAGAGAUGGCGCAAUCUGUUUGCGUUUGUCCCUAAUCUCGAUAUUGAUGACUCUAUCUUUCUCCAUAAUGAAGAUUUUAAGGAGGAUAGGUACGACAUUUAUCACUUAUCAGAGCUUCAUCGAUUUUGUUGAUAGAGUAUUGGCAAUGCAGGGUGAUUCUCCCAUUAAGAAACUCUCCCUCAAGUUUAGAACUGGCUUUGACUCACACCGAGCAGAUGGUUGGAUAAGUAACACGUUGGUUCGUGGUGUUUCCGAACUUGAUGUGCUAAUCAGUUUGCAUGGAACAGAUUACCAUUUUCUGUCUCCAAAAUGUUUCAAGACCAAGAAUCUGGUUACUCUGAAAUUAAACAGUCUUGCUAUUGACUGGGACAUAUUCUUACCAAUGCUUAAAACUCUCCUUCUUCACUCUGUUACGUUAUGUGUUGAUAAGAUGUUUUCUUAGUGCUUUGCCUGCGCUUGAGGAAUUAGUCUUGUUUGUUGUGCCCUGGGGAGGUAAGUCUAACGAUUUCCUCUUAAAACAUUCGAUGUUUCAGCUUCUCCGAUGUCUUUGCCUGUCUUCUCCAACCUGAAACCUUUGUAUCCUUUCUUCGAAUCUUCGCUAGUAGCUCCCUAGGAACAAGGUAGGUGUCGAACUUUACUAAAUUCUCCUUUAUUUGAGAUUUCUUAGUUCAGAAGUUUCCUUUUGGCUAUUUACGUUGUUAACUAAUUAGGGUUUCUCUCUGUUUUACCAACUCAUCUUCGCGUCAAUUUAAUAAUCAAAACUUUCUCUAAAAGGAUUUCAGAGUCUAAAGAGAUUCGUGUUAUUCAUCACAAUGAGCAACAUACAACAUAUAUAGAGUAGAUGUACAACCGAAAGCGUAAAUCUAGGGAAAUCUAUCUAGUUCAGAAGAUCUAGUUACACAGAAUAUAUGAAUCUGUUAGAGUAUAUUCGUAGAUGAUUAUGCCAAGAAUAACUGAAGAUAACCGAGCCAAAACAAACCCCUAAUAUUCUCUGUUUGUAUCGCUGAUUUCUCACAAGAGCUUGUCUUCUUUCGUGUAGAGAAGAUGGAUCUCUUAAGAAAUAUACCAGACGAGCUUAUUUGCCAUAUAUUGUCCUUCCUUACAACAAAGGAGGCUGCUUUGACAUCGGUUCUCUCCAAGAGGUGGCGCAAUCUGCUUGCUUUUGUCUCUAAUCUUCACAUUGAUGACUCUAUCUUUCUGCAUCCCGAAGAGGGUAAGCGUGACAGGAACGAAAUUCGACAGAGCUUCCUAGAUUUUGUGGGUAGAAUAUUGGCAUUGCAAGGUAAUUGUCCGGUUAAGAAAGUCUCCAUCAAGUUUCUAUUUAAGCUUGAUUCAGACCGAGUUGAUGGUUGGAUAAGUAAUGUGUUGGCACGUGGUGUUUCCGAACUUGAUCUGUCAAUCGAUUUGUGUAUGGAUGAAUACUUUCUGUUGUCUUCAAAACGUUUCGAGAGCAAGAAUCUAGUUAGGUUGAAAUUACACAGACUUUGUAUUGGCCAACGGGAAAAAACUGUUGGUUGGUUGGCUGGGGAGAUUUUCUUACCAAUGCUUAAAACUCUCGAACUUGAUUAUGUUGGGUUUUAUGGUGAUUUGUUGUUUCUUAGAGCUUUACCUGCGCUAGAGGAAUUAGUCAUUGUUGAUGCAUUCUGGUUCACGACCUUUACGGAUGUCACCGUGUCAAAUCCAAGCCUCAAGACCCUAACAAUGAGUUCCAAUAUUUAUUCAGGCAGUAUUUCAUUUGAUACACCUAGUCUUGUUUACUUUAGUCACUUUAAGUAUGUUGCUAAAGACUACCCCUUAGUUAACAUGGAAAACUUACUUGAGGCUAGGAUCAACCUUGGGGUAACUGAGGGUCAAAUCAGACGAGCAAGAGAGCCAAAUAACAAUGACGAGGUUGUUCUCCGGUUUCCAAAUGUGGGGAAGCUCAUGAAUGGCAUACGAAAUGUUCAGUGUCUAGACUUGUCUGCCAAUACUCUUGAGGUCAGUUUUUCUUUUUUCUUUUCUCUCGAGGUGAUAAAAUAGAGAAAUCCACGACGGUUAUGUUUAUUUAGUCCCAUUUUAACGAACUAGCGAGAGUCUUGUUUAGAGACAUGUAAUGGCAAAAUAUCUAAUUGUGGGUUGUCUUAUUAUCAGAUGCUUUCUCUAAGCUGUGAAUCAAUGCCAGUGUUCAAAAACCUCAAAUCUUUAUCUAUCAAGAGUGCCGAGAAUCGAGGAUGGCAAGCAAUGCCAGUUCUUCUGAGGAACUGUCCACAUCUAGAAACUCUAGUCCUUGAGGUAUAGAAAUAACUCAUUUAUCAAACAUGUACAAAGAUAUAGUUCAUACUUUGAUUUGAAUCUCUUAUUCAUGUCUUCUUUAUGCUCUCAGGGUCUCUUGCACUUUGUCACAGAUAAAUGCGGGGAUGCUUGUGACUGCGUUUCUCGAGAGGAAAAAGGUCGUUCGCUCACAUCUUGUCCAGUAAAAACGUUAGAGAUUAAAGAGUUUCAUGGAACAAUGGAAGAGAUGUACAUGAUAACGCAUUUCUUGGACUAUUUUCCGUGUUUGAAGGAGCUAAAGAUCUAUAUUGAAGGGAAUGAUCAUGCACAGCGCGAAGUGUCUGAAGUUAUCGCGGAGAAGAUAAAACUCUACAACAAAUCAUCGAGUAGCAAUGUCCAGCUUAUGGUUAGUGGUUACCAUGAAUAAGAAUACGACUGCACUGCACAAUGAAGCCUCUGAAGAACAAAACUAAAGCAUAGGUUUUUACUACCAUGAGAAAUAAGCCUAUUAUUGGUCCCGUGAAAUCUAGCAGGUAGAACAGAAUAAUAGAAAACAACGCAAUCCCAAACAAUGCAUUCGAAAGCAGUCUGUUACCAUUUUUUCUCCUUCAACUCAAUUAUGUUUAUAAGCCAACAAGAUUUCACGCGUUAUUUAACUCAGGCCAUAAACUGAUGUUUAACAUUUGUAUGAAUGCUAUACAUCAUGAACAUCGAACAUAGAAGACUUUCCUUUGUUUCUAUAUUCAUAUAUAUAUAGACUGUAGUAAAUAUUUCCCAAGUAAAGCACGAGACAAUUUUAUUAAGAUAUAGUAAUUGAGUUUCACAAGUAAUUAGCUUAAGACCUUGAAUGUUUGUAAAUUUCUACAAUGGUUUUUUUUUUUUAUCAUUCAAGAUAAAGUAAUGGGAAUCUAGCUAGAUUUUUAAAGUUUCUACAAAUUAUCAAACAAAAGACCAGAAACCAAUUCUAUUAUUCAAAUUAGAUUCGUUUUUCGAGUUGAUAAAUUUAGGUUCGGUUCACACCUCAACAAGGAGCAAAUUUUGGCCUUUUCGGAACUUCCUAUGUAGUGUAAACCUUGAAGAAAAGUCAAUCAGAAGUUUUACGUAACGCAUGCAUAUAUGUCCUCGUACUCAAAAGAAAAGCAUACACAAGAUACAUUGCAUUUACACAAACGAAACGCUCGAGCACCAUUAAUUAAUGAUGGAUUUACACUCGACAACUUUCAUUAUAUAACCAAGACUUCACGUUAUAAUCCUCUUUUCAUCUAAAACUUUUUGUGUUAUUACGAAUCUUGUUCUUUUGAAUAUUGUGUUCGAUUCUUUCCUCAAAUUUAUUGUUUCCCCUUUUUUGUGUUCGAUUCGUUGCUCUUACCAUUAUAGUUUUUGGAGCUCUUUUGACUUAAAAAAGAAAGAAAGAGAGAAAGCAAUCAAAGCCGUUGGAGACUCAUACCUGUACCCAUAACAACAAUACACGUUUUAUAAAUGGGAGAUAUUAAGUCUGACCAUAUUAUUCCAAGUUAUAAAACAUGUUGAUGUAAAAAAUGUGUGAAUGCACGUGGAUUCUAUGAAGAGAGCUCGUGUAAGCGCGGUGUAUGAAGGUAAAGAGAGAAAUAGAUCAAGCAACGGAGAGGAAACUCGAAGGGAACAGUCUAAACACGCGAGAAUGACGGCAAAAGCUCGGAUGAACGUUUACAAAGAGAGCAUGAAACCUCUGCCGCCUAAACGUAAGAAAUCGUUGAUGAUCAUAAGUUUGAUGAGAAAGAAGGAAGAUACGCAAGAUGAUCAAAAUAAUGUUACUGUUGUCGAAAAGGAAAAGGAGGAGAAAGAGAAAGGCACGGUGCAGAACAUCAGGGAAAAUGCGGAAAUGCUCUCAUCAAAAUGUGUUGAGGAGUGGCCGCACAUGUUAACAUAUGAAGAGGAAUGGACGUGGUUUGCGUUUGCGUUUGGGUGGGGAUGGUGGCAGCGUUAUGACGCGGUGAUGAGCGGUAAGAGUUGGUUUAACUAAAUAUUAAAGAUUAAGGUGUUUGUUACAAAUCAUUUUGGGUUGGUGAAACUAUAUACAUAGAUGAUAGUUGAUACUUGAUAGGAUUUCUUAAGAUAAAAGAAGAUAUUGAGAAAUCAGUGUAUGUAUAUCGACCGAAACGAAAAUAUAUCUUUAAAGGGUUCACUUUCGUUUAUGUUUAUAUACAGAGAUUUCUCAUAAUAGAUUUUCAGUAUUUUUUUUUGUUUUAUUUGGUGUUUCAAUAUUUCGAACAAAAUCCAAAAGCGUAUAUACAGACUUAGACGCUGGUGAAACAUGCAUGACUUGCAUUAUUAGAGCAUCCACAACGGUGGGAUCCAAAAAUCAAGAUUAUAGUUUGUUUUUUUCUAUUCCGCAAGAUUCAAACUAAUUGGAUUUUCGGUAGAUCUACCAACACAUAAACUACCUAUAUUGGGUUAACCAUUUUAGAAUCAAUUUUAGGAGAUAAACCCUAAUUUAAAUACAUUUUAGUUAAUAUUAAAGUUUAAACUACACGCAUGUAAGUCUACACAAAUUAUAUAAAAAACACUUCAAAGAACUUUCCGUUCACACAUUUGAUGAUUUCUUGUAGUUUCAUUAAGUCAAUGAACACACAAGUUUCAAAUUGAUAUUUCAGGUCAUUAAGACAAUGUUGACACACAAGUUUCAGAUUGAUAUGUGAGAUCAUUAAGAAAAGGGUCUUAAUCAUAAAUUUAAAAGUGGACUCUUAUCCGCAAGCCUAUCUUAUGUAUAUGGCACUGGCACCGUCCACAAAUGUGUCUAUCAUCCUUUCAAGUGGACCAUCCUUUUCCUUUAAGGUAAUAACUCUGUGUGACUGAGAUCUACAAACACAUGUUACACACUUCACAGUCCUUAUAAAGUAAAUUUACUUAUUAUUAAGAAAAUAAGAUUUUGUAACUUUUUUCCUCUUAAAACAAUGGACAAAUAUGAAUACAAAUCCAUAUGUCACUAUUAUCUAUAUUUACACAAUUUAUUCGAUUUUUUGUAUGUUGUCUUAUCUCAUCGGAAAUUUUCAAACUAGUUAACCAUCGGAAAAAAUCAAGACGCACGGAUAUAUAAAUUACAUAUUCAUAAAUCAGACAUUUGACAAUCCGAUAGAAAUUGUCUCAUAAAGAGAAAAAGAACACAGACAAUAGGAAAUGAAAUGAGCAGAGAUAAUUCAUAAGAAUGUUUUAGAAAAGAAAUUAAGCUUCGGUGAAGCUUGGGGGCUUGUAGGCAAUGAAACUGAUGCAUUGGACUUGACGGGUGUUGUCGAAUCCGAUGAUCCUAAUGAAGGCGCCCGGGUACUCCUUCUUGCAUUCUUCAACUUCCUUCAACACUUGAGCGGAGUCGGUGCAUCCGAACAAUGGAAGCUUCCACAUUGUCCAGUACCGUCCAUCGUAGUAUCCGGGAGUGUUUCCGUGCUCACGGUACACAAAUCCGUGCUAUAAACACAUAAGAAAACCAUUCAAUACAAUUGAUAUUGGAGGAUAUGCACAAGGUGAUAUAGUCUAUUUCGGUUCUACAAAAUCCGGUUAUAGGCUAAUAUUUCUAGCAAUGAAAACGAAUAAAUAAUAAUGAUUAGUAGACAAAAGAAAACUUUUGUGUUUAUUACCUCUAACUCGAAUUCAACACAAGGAAUCCACUUGUUGCGGAGAAGGUAGUCAACUUCCUUAGCCAAUUCGACGUCACUAAGGUCAGGGAGGUAAGAUAGAGUCUCAAACUUCUUCUUUCCAAUUGGUGGCCACACCUAUAAUCCCCAAAUCCAAUUCCAAAUUAAUAUAUCCUAUGUUUUGUUUUAUUGCACAUGACAAAAGACAGUUUUUAUUGAUGAUAUUACCUUCAUGCAGCUAACUCUUCCCCCGUUGCUUGCGAUGGAAGUGAUGUCCUUGUUGGUCUUGCGGGUGACCGGGAAUGCAGCGGAUGACUUCAAGCCGGUGAAUGGAGCGACCAUGGUGGCCUGAGCCGGGGAUGUAACCACAGCGGCGGAGGAGAGCAUAGAGGAAGCCAUUACUACUUCUUGUUGUUUCUCUUCUUCUUUUGCUCGUUUACUUACUGACUUGUUUUCCUACUGGUGUUGUCAUCUUUAUAUAAUGAGAACCCCCUAAAGGCGAAAAGCCCUCAUGAUCAAAGGGUCCAUGAUUCAUGAUAACGUCGUUUACUGCCACAGGAUUAAGGAAAGGUGUUGACACCCUUAUCGGUACGCACCACUAGGAUAAGGCCACGUGGCAGAAAACUCCAUUAUCUUAUCUUUUCUCUUGUGGGGGAAAUGAAGUGAAUGUGCGGUUACUGGUCUCCACUUGAUCGGUUGCUUUUGGCUCCUUUCGUUUGGGAGAAAAGAAACCAGACGCAUUACCUUAAAUUUAAUGCUUUUGGUCUUUUGGACCUCUUAUUUACCAUGUAUGAUUUAAUUUGGCUUAACACUUUCUUUGGAAAUAAGGUCGCAUUAAAAAAUAGUUAUAACAAAAUUAUUUAAAUUUGAUAUUUACAUAAAUAUAUUGUAUGAUAUUUAUCCGGACAAAAAAAAAAGCUUUAACCAUCUCCAAUAUUUGUUUCUAUUAUUUUCUUUCUGAAUAUAGAGGAAAAAAUAUAAUAGAGAUUUAUAUUUUAACUUCAAUGGUUCCUCAAAAAUUCGUUAGAAAAAAUAAAUAAGAGAAAAAAUAAAAAUCUCUAUUUUUUGCUUUAGAAAAAAAAUUAGAAAUUUCUAUUUUACAAAUGAAAAUAGAGAUGAGUUAGAGUUAAAUAAAUACAAAAAUAGAGUAUAUAAAUAAAAAUAGAGAUAGAUUCGAGAUGCUCUUAAAAAUAUUCAUUACUCUUUCCGUUUUAUUAAUAUCAAUUGUUAAGAUUUUUCAGGCAGACUUAUAAAUAAGAUUCCAUUUCAGACUAAUGGAAGUAAACCUAUCAAAAGAAUUCUAACGUGCUGUAGAGAGACUCCUUCGUCAUCGUCCCUUUUGUGAAAGAGUAAAUUAAAGAAUCCAUAAUGAGCAUAGUGUAAGAAGAACCAUUUAUCUAUUAGAUAUAUUCUAGUACUGGUAGACUGUCGAUUCUGGAUACAUCCUGAAAAUCAUUUACCACAAUAAAUUGUCGAUAAUCUUUUUGUUGGAAAAGUUAUAUAUUAUCUUCAAAUGAUAAUAUAUUAGUCGACAAAAGAAAAGCGAGACAAAAUUUGAAUACAUUGAUUUCGGUUAAUUCAAUACUUUCACUUCAUUUUUAGCAAAUAGUACUUUUAUUUCUGAUUUUUAUGUGGCUAGGAUAAAAGCAAAACCUUACUGGUUGGAGAGAGUAAAUAUUUGAGUCGAUACUAACAACAACUACAUCAUGCAAGAUAUGUUUGUGGGACAAAGAGACCGAGCGAACAAACGAAACGGCAAAACCAUCAUCUACAUGUAUCAAGUGCGCGGUAAACCCCUCAUGGAAGAAUUUCCAAGAAAACCUCCCAAAGUCCAUGGUAUCUUCUAUAUGAGGUAAUGCACGCUGCCUCUAGAUCAACAAGUAAUAUCAGCUCACGAUUAUCUUGCGACUCUGAUCACAUCACAAUAACAAUGGGGAACCCACAUACGCAACCGUUCUCCUUGGAGUACCAUGCCAUUGCACUUACGGCCCCCUCAAGCACAAAUAUGGCACCUCAAGCUGAUUUCCACCAUGCAAACUUGAGUAUGUAAUCAAAGGUGUAGAACGGAGUCAAGAACUCAUCUUAAAGUCACAUAAAACUAUGGUCAUGCACUCAUGGAUCACGACUACUACCUUCAGGCUCACAAAUUAAUGCCCCCUUUUCAAUCAUAUAUAUGAGAAGAAACGUGUACAAAGUACACAUUAACUGGUCACGAAAAAACUUUCGUGUAGGGAAAAGGAUCACAAGGUCCACUCCACUCCGCACCUCAGCUAAAUAAAUCAUUUUUCGAAAGUGAGAUAGUCUUAACUCUUAAGUCUUAACCCAUCCAUCUAAGUUACUAGUUUCUGUCUUUUAUAAGUCAUUUUGUUUCUUUUUCUUGGAUUUUAAUUGAAGCCAAAAUGUGUGAAUUAAAUCCGGGAGAUGGAAAAAAUGUUCGAUAAUUUGAAUUAUUAUUUUUAUAUGUAUUUUGUAUUUGAAUCAUGAAUUUUUUAUAUUUCGUUUGCAUAGAAGAAUCCAAAAACAUAUGAUUUUUUGUCAAAACAAAAACUUAAAACCAAACAUAUAGUAGAUGCGACGUUUUCAUUAUCAUUUGGAAUCUAGUUUUAUUUAGAACUUUUUGGGAACGUUAACUACUUUUCCUUCUAAAUAACUGUUUCAGCUUUUAAUGCAUAACCAAUGAUCAAAUUUAACGUAAACAAAAUUUCCAAAAUUUAGUAACUUCAUGCUUGACAAAUUUCAGUCUUUGUCGAUCCUUGCUUUAUGUAAUGCUAUUUCUUGACUUAAUAUCCCACUUAGGGGUUUGGAAUACAUGUUUUAUGUUUAUAAUUUUAAAAGAUGCAUUUGAAUUUUCUGUAUAUACUACCUUUUCCAAAUCUCCAAUGGCUAUGUCAUCUGAAAAAUGGUUACACUCCCUUACAUAAACUUUUCUCUAAAUAUCGAGGUUUGAUUGAUUGCUUUCAUGUGCAAAAUUUCUUAAAACAAUGUAGCAAGUUUUUCUUUUUUUAUUAGAGUUUAUUGGUUAGUCUAGGGAGUCAAAAGCAAGAAUUAUGAGGAUAAUUUAAAGGAGCCACAAUGUUGUUUAAAGGAGCUAAACGAAAAAUAAGAUUUCAAAGAUUUAAGGGCAAAAAUGAAAUGAAAUGAUAACUAUAAUUAUAGAGAAACUGAUAGGAAUAACAUUUUCACUUUCAAACAAUAGUUCCUCAACUGUUAAGUCGGCAAAUAAUUUCUUAAAUUUGCAUUGACCACAUAGAAAUGGGUUCCAGAAUAAUCAACGCUGAAUAUUCCAGAAAGGGGAUUAAGCUUCGGUGAAGCUUGGGGGCUUGUAGGCAAUGAAACUGAUGCAUUGGACUUGACGGGUGUUGUCGAAUCCGAUGAUCCUAAUGAAGGCGCCAGGGUACUCCUUCUUGCAUUCUUCAACUUCCUUCAACACUUGAGCGGAGUCGGUGCAUCCGAACAAUGGAAGCUUCCACAUUGUCCAGUAUCGUCCAUCAUAGUAUCCGGGAGUGUUUCCGUGCUCACGGUACACAAAUCCGUGCUAUAUAUAAAGAAAACCAUUCAAUACAAUUGAUAUAUAUAUUGGUGAUAGUCUAUUUCGGUUAUCCACUUAAGUUUCUAGCAAUGAAGAAGAAGAAUAAAGGAUGCUUAGAGACAAAGGAAAAGUUCAGUGUAUAUUACCUCCAACUCGAAUUCAACACAAGGAAUCCACUUGUUGCGGAGAAGGUAGUCAACUUCCUUAGCCAAUUCAACGUCACUAAGGUCAGGGAGGUAAGAUAGAGUCUCAAACUUCUUCUUUCCGAUUGGUGGCCACACCUAUAAAUUCGAAUUCCCAAUUAUUCUAAAGUAUUGUUCAGUUGCACUAAUUGCACAUGACAAAAGACAGUUUUCAUUAAUGACAUUUACCUUCAUGCAGCUAACUCUUCCUCCGUUGCUUGUGAUGGAAGUAAUGUCGUUGUUGGCCUUGCGGGUGACCGGGAAAGAAGCGGAUGACUUCAAGCCGGUGAAUGGAGCGACCAUGGUGGCUUGAGCCGGGGAGGUAACCACAGCGGUGGAGGAGAACAUAGAGGAAGCCAUUACUUCUUCUUGUUGUUUCUCUUCUUCUUUUGGUUUUUCUCUUACUUACUUGUUUGUCUGUUGGUUUUGUCAUCUUUAUAUAGUGGGAACCGCUAGAGGCAACUAGCCCUAAUGAUCAAAGGGGCCAUAAUUCAUGAUAACGUCGUUAAUUGCCACAGGAUUAAGGAAAGGUGUUGACACCCUUAUCGAUUUGGACCACUAGGAUAAGAUCACGUGGCAGAAAACUCCAUAAUCUUAUCUUUCUCAUGUAAGGGUAGGAGUGAAUGUGUAUGGCUACUGGUCUCCACUUGAUCGGUUGCUUUUGGCUCCUUUCAAUUGGGAGGCGUCAAAUUGUAGAUAUCGGUUAAAUACUUUUUACAUAUAGAUUAAAAAAAUGAUUAAAUUUCUAUUACCUUAUAUUAACACAUUCAUAUUUUUAUUUUUCCACUUGAUAAUCUUAAAUAAUAAGAAUAUAAGUAUAAUCUUUGAAUUCAUCCCACAUUUUAAAAGUAUAAUUAAAUCAGACAGAGUUCAUUCAAAAUGGUUUUUAAUUGGGAAAUGUAAACUAGUAUUUUGUGUUAUUAUUUUCUAUGUAGUAUGUACGAUCACUAGAACUUUUAGUCACAUAAUGGAUAUUAAAUUAGAAAACAAUCCAAAUGCUUGUGAAUUUUCAGGUUUUACGGCUAAUUAAUAUAUUUCUGAUGAACAAGAGGAACCCACGGCACCGUUCCUUUUGGAGCACAACGCAAUUGCACUUACGGCCCACUUAAGCACGAAUGUGGCACCUCAAGAUAAUUCCCACCAUGACAACUUAAGCACAAAAGCCAUGACGGAUCAUGGGGAAAUUUUAUAACACACUUCAAUGGAUGGUGUGGAUCCGAGGGAAGAAUCCACACUCUAAGGCCACAUGAAGAAGCUCAUAUGGUCAUGGGUCCACGAAUACCACGUAAAAGCUCAUAUAUGCCCCGGUCCAACCAUAUGAGAAGAAGUAGCCAAACCCAUUCAAGAAACAUUGAUUACUUUUCAUUGUAAAUAAGUGUUUUAGCUUUGAAUGUAUCGUAAACUAUCUAAUUUAAUGUAAAACAGUUUCCAAAUUAUAAAUAUUCAUGCUUUGUUAUCUCCAUUAUAAAUUUCAUUAAUUCUUGCGUGUCCUUGCUUGCUAUGAUGUCAUCUCUAAAUUUUUGGACUUGCGGCUCUAGAAUUCAUGUUUAUGGAUUUAAAAUAUACAGUUGGAUUUUUCUAUGUCAUUUUAAAAAAGAAAAUUUUUAGAUUAGAUUUUAAAAAGAGAAAUAAACGUGUUUACAACUUAAUGCAUACUUUUUUGAAAAACAAAUCUAAAACAGAGGAUUUGGUCUUAAGCUUGUCUUGUACCAAACCAAACUUGAAGACCUCCUUCAUACUUCAAAGCUCCCCCCACUCCGUAUUGUGCUCAGCCGGUUCCAAACAUUUUUGUCAAUUAACUUGACAAGUUUCUCCAUUGGUGAUGGUUGUUCACCAUGCUUUCAAGCAUUUCUUUCUCCCCAAAUCGAAUGAACCGUGUUUUGGAAGACAUACCGUAGAAUGAAGAUUUUUGUUUUGUCAUAGUUUUUGUCACAAAUGGUUUUAAAGACUUCCCUCCAAUAUGUCGAGUACUUAUCAAGUAGUAUUCCCCUUAUCAGCUUCUCCCAUACCUUCUGCGAGUAAGAGCACCCAAAAAAAAGAUGGUGUCUUGUUUCCAUAGGUUCGUGACAGAACAUGCAGUUUGUGUUCACUUGUUGAUUCCAUUUAAACAUUCUGUCUCCCGUGGCAACUCUGUUUUUUGAAGCUAGCCAACUGAGAAAGGAGUAGUUAGGGUAAAGUAAAAGAAACAGAUCCCUUUGUAUCCGUCCAUCGUAGGCUUAGUGUUGCGAAUUUUUGAGCAUGUAUCUCUUGUGACAAACUUUUGACGGUAGUGAUCAUUUUUUCCUUUCCAAAGGGCUAUGUAACUUUCAUCUUCUCUGAGACGACAUCUCUAUUUUCUACGUAUUUUUACUACCUUUACUGGCUGUUUUUCAUCUUUAAAUUAAAAUGUUCUAAAUCAACCCUCAAAAUUUGAUUGAUGGACGCAUCUUUGCUAUGCUUUCAAGUGCGAAAUGUACCUAAAAAGGGUACUCUUUCAUUAGAGAACCAAAGGCAAGAAUUAGGAGAGAAAUUUAAAGGAACUAAAAUGUUAGUUAAAAGAGAUAAAACGAAUAAAAAGAGUUAAAAGUGAUAAGAGCAGAAAUGAAGUGAUAUGAAUAGAGAUUUUUAUAGAGGAAACGAUAGAAAAACAAACCUUCAGUUUUUUCACUUUGGCAAAAUAAUUACUUAAAUUUACAUUGACCAUACAAAAUUGGGUUCCGGAUAGUCAACAUUGAAUAUUCCAGAAAAGGAUUUAAGCAUCAGUGAAGCUUGGGGGCUUGUAGGCAAUGAAACUGAUGCAUUGGACUUGACGGGUGUUGUCGAAUCCGAUGAUCCUAAUGAAGGCGCCCGGGUACUCCUUCUUGCAUUCUUCAACUUCCUUCAACACUUGAGCGGAGUCGGUGCAUCCGAACAAUGGAAGCUUCCACAUUGUCCAGUACCGUCCAUCGUAGUAUCCGGGAGUGUUUCCGUGCUCACGGUACACAAAUCCGUGCUAUAAACACAUAAGAAAACCAUUCAAUACAAUUGAUAUUGGAGGAUAUGCACAAGGUGAUAUAGUCUAUUUCGGUUCUAAAAAAUCCGGUUAUAGGCUAAUAUUUCUAGCAAUGAAAACGAAAAAAAUAAUAAUGAUUAGUAGACAAAGGAAAAGUUUUGUGUAUAUUACCUCCAACUCGAAUUCAACACAAGGAAUCCAUUUGUUGCGGAGAAGGUAGUCAACUUCCUUAGCCAAUUCGACGUCAGUAAGGUCAGGGAGGUAAGAUAGAGUCUCAAACUUCUUCUUUCCGAUUGGUGGCCACACCUAUAAUUCCCAAUUCCCAAUUAUUCUUAAGUAUUGUUCAGUUGCACUAAUUGCACAUGACAAAAGACAGUUUUCAUUAAUGACAUUACCUUCAUGCAGCUAACUCUUCCCCCAUUGCUUGUGAUGGAAGUAAUGUCGUUGUUGGCCUUGCGGGUGACCGGGAAAGAAGCGGAUGACUUCAAACCAGUGAAUGGAGCGACCAUGGUGGCUUGAGCCGGGGAGGUAACCACAGCGGCAGAGGAGAGCAUAGAGGAAGCCAUUACUUCUUCUUCUUCUUCUUUUGCUUAAUUGUUUUUCUAUUGGUUUUGUCAUCUUUAUAUAGUGAGAACCGUAAGAGGCAAAAAGCCCUAAUGAUCAAAGGGUCCGGGAUUCAUGAUAACUCGUUCACUACCACAUGAUUAAGGAAAGGUGUUGACACCCUUAUCUUAUCUUUCUUUUGUGAGGAAAUGAGUGAUUGUGUAUGGUUUACUAGUCUCCACUUGAUCGGUUGCUUUGGCUCCUUCCUUUUGGAAGAAAAGAAAUCAGAUGCAUGACCGUAAAUAUAAUGUUUUGGACCUUUUAUUUAUCUUGUAUGUAUUUUUAAAAUUUGGUUUACAUUACUUCGGUUAAUAAAUACUAUAACAGGAAUAUCUAUAAACAGAGUCAUGACUCAUAAUGCAUUUCACAAUGUCAAAGCUGAACGUUGAGAUAAAUUUAUCAAUAGCACUAAAUAUUAAUCCGCGGUAUACCGCGGGUCUAUAUUUUCAUUAAAUAAAAAAUAAUUGAAUAUUUCUUAGGAUGACUUAAUAAAUUUCUGCUAUUGUUUGAUUUAAAUGUAUAAUUCACCGCGAGACAAAAUUUUAUAACUCAAAUUUUAAAGUUUUAAGUUGUAUUUGUUUAUUUUGUUAAAUGUUUAAUAUUGUAUAAUUGUAUUUUGAUUGUUGUUUCUCGGAUUUCACCCGUAGUACACCAUCCCAUAUUAAUAUCGAAUCAAACCCGUCAAUUCUAGGAUUUCACCUGUGGUAGUAUUUAAUUGUAUAAUAAUAACUUGAUUGUCAUUCUAGGAUUUCACUCCUAGUUCUAUCGCAAAUUAUUAUCAACUCAAACCAGUCAAUUCUAAAAUUUCACCCGUUGUACACCAUCCCAUAUUAAUAUCGAAUCAAGCCCGUCAAUUCUAGGAUUUCACCCGUGGUAGUAUUUAAUUGUAUAAUUAUAUUUUAAUUGUCAUUCUAGAAUUUUACUCCUAAUUCUAUCGCAAAUUAUUAUCAACCUAAACCAGUCAAUUCUAAAAUAUCACCCGUAGUACACCAUCCCAUAUUAAUAUCGAUUCAAACUCGUCAAUUCUAGGAUUUCACCCGUGGUAGUAUUGCGAGAGAAAUCUUAUAAAAGAAUCGAAAUGUGUUUUAAAAAAAUUAAAGUUUUAAGUAUUUUUUUUUAAUAUUGUUAAUUUUGUUUAGUGCUUAAUAUUAUAUAAUUAUAUUAUGAUUGUUAAUUAUAGGUUUUUUUCGUAGCAUAUCAUCCAAUGUUAUAAUUCACUCAAAGCCGUCACACCAUAUAACCCCGUCCCGUUAAAUUAAACACAAAUUUGUCAUUUUAUUAUAAAUUUCAAAUAUUUAUAAAAUUAGAAACUUCAAAAAAGAUUAAUAUUGACCCAAACUUCAUCAUUGAAUUUUGAGUGUUAUAUCUAAGAUUUCUCUCGCAGUAUAUCGUCCCGUAUUAAUAUCUUUUAUAUUGUUUAAAUUUCUUGUAAAAUUUGAUUUAUAAUUUUUUGAAACUUUUUAAAGUUUCAAUUCUUUAAAAUAAAUAACCCUAGUAAACAAACCAUUUUAAUUUUGGACACCUCAUAAAUCAAGUUUCAUGCUCAUUCGUAAUCGAAAUUAUUUUGGUCCUUUUUAUAGUAUGGCUCUGAACCAUUGUCCAAUUUUUUUAAGCGAUGUGGGACAUUGUACAAUCGUAAUUAUUAUCCACCCAAACCCGUCCUACCAUAUAACCCAGUCCCGUGAAAUUAAACAUAAUUUUGUCAUUUUCUUAUAAAUUUCAAUAUUAUAAAAUUUGAAACUUACAAAAAAUAAAAUAUCGACCUUGAUUAUAUUUAAGAUUUUUCCUGUAAUAUAUCGUCUUGUAUUAAUAUAUUUUAUAUAUAUAUUUAUAAUGUUUAAAUUUCUUGUAAAAUUCAAUUUAUAAUUUUUAAAACUUUAUCAGUUUUAAAAUUAUAAAUAUUUAAAGUAUUUUUUAAAGAUAAACUUUAUAAAAAGUUUUUAAAAUUAUAAUAUUUAACUUUUGAUAAAGUUAUAAUAUUUAUAAUUUCUUGAAACAUUUUAAAGUUUCAAUUCUUUAAAAUAAAAAACCCAAGUAAAUCGGAUAACUAUUUUAAUUUUGGACGACUGAUAAAUCAAGCUUCCUGCUCAUUCGUAAUCAGAAUCAUUUUGGUCCUUUUAUAAUAUGGGUCUGAAACAUUGUCCAAUUUUUCUAAGCGAUGUGAGACAUUGUAUACAUAUUAUUUCUUCAUACUUUGAAUAAUAUAUGUCCGUUUAAAAAAAUUUGAAUUACAUCAUAUGCAGAAAAAAAUAUAAUAUUUUAUUAACUAUAUAUAUUUUAUAUAAAUUCAAAAUAAAUAAAGUAUAAGAUCAAAUAAAAGUGAAAGAAGAAUUAUAUAUUUAUGUUUAAAUUAGGUAAAAAUAUUUUAGGAAAUUAGUUAAGGUAAAUAACAAAUAUGGUUCGUUUAGAGAUAUUGUUUAUAUUAAAUUUGGUAAUUAAAUCAUUAAUUUUUGUUUUUAAUUAUUAGUUUUUAGGUAACUUUUCCAAAAAUUAAUGUUAUCGAAGAUCAGAACAUAAUUAAACAUGUUAUCCAAGAUCCGAACAGAGUUAAACCGGGUUAUACCCACCCAUUUGAAUUAAUUGUUGAAUUAUGGCUCAAAUCUUCAAUAUUAUCUUCUAAAAACGUCUACAAAAAUGUAUAUAUAGAAGAUUACUCUUUUUAACUAAAUGCAAAAAAGGAAAACCGAUAAGAAUAAGAAAAAAAUAGCAAAAUUGAUAAAUGGAUUAGUCAAGAAAACCAUGUUUAAAUAUAGGAAAUACCAAAAAUGAAAGGAUAGCCAUGUGAUACGCUUGUAUAAAAAGAAAUUGUCCCUAUUGAUUACUUCAAAAAAAAAAAAAAAAAAUAAAUAAAUAAAUAAAUAAAGAGGCCAAUUCGACAAUAAAGGCAAUGCAUAGUCUCUCGUGGUUUCUCCUCGUCAUUGGAUUAUCCGUAGGGUUGAGUAGCGGAAAGUGGAAUGAGAAAAACUCUGUCAUCUUUACGAAUUCUCUUGGUCGGAACAAAGUCUUGAAAGUAAAUUGCAUAUCAAAUGAUGACAAUCUAGGCUUCCACUUUUUGCGCCAUGGACAAACCUACGAUUUUAGUUUCCACGAUAGUCUUUUCAAAUCAGAAUUCUAUUGUGACCUAUGGCAAGGCCCUAAUUUCAAGUUGCAUGCAGCAUUUACGGCAUAUGAAGGUGGUGGUUUGAUAGUUCAUUAUGGUAAAAAGAACUUUUGGGAUGUUAGAGAUGAUGGGAUCUAUUUCACCCAUGGCCAAAAAAUGCCCAAGUUAGAGUAUACGUGGAAGUAAUAAUUAAUCACUCAAAGGGAAAAGAUGGAAUUUAACUCAUCUUUUUGUUUUAAAGUUUGACAGAAACUUCAUUUUCUUGUGUAUUAUAGUGGACGUGAAACAUUGUAAUAAAUCAUCAAAUUAAGGCACCUUAAUAUGUAAAUGUAUCUUUAGUGUAUUAAAGAGAAACUUUAUAAGUAUGUGAGUUUUUCAAUACGCAAACAUAUCCAAGGCUUACGUCCUAACCAAAACUAAUAUUAAUUUGCACAUAUAUACAUGAUUAAUGAAUAAUGUAAGUAGACAGAGUGAGAGAUCACCCACCAGCUCUCCCUCUCCCCAAGUCAGCUUUCAUUUCAAAUCCUGAAAGGUAUCGUCGCUUGGUAGGGCGACUUAGCUACUUAAUUAGCUGACACCUGAGUUAGCCUAUUCAGUUCACAAAUUAGCACAGUUCAUGCAACAUCCACUUUAAGAACACUGGGAUGCUGUGAUAUGGGUGGUUCCGAUAUCUAAAAUCCAAUCCGCGCCAAGGCCUUUUGCUUCCCAGCUCAUCGACUUUGCAGCGUCAUGGUUGGUGUGAUAGUGAUUGGGCCGCCUGUCCUCUUACUAGACGCUCUCUCACAGGUUAUUUUGUACAACUUGGUGACACAAAAAUCUCAUGGAAAAUGAAGAAACAACUGACUAUCACUCGCUCUUCCGCAGAAGUCGAAUAUCGAGCCAUGACAUUUCUUACUCAAGAACUUAUUUGGCUUAAAAAGGUGAUGCAUGAUCUUGGUGUCUCUCAAGAUCGACCUAUGCGCAUAUUCUCUAACAAUAAGUCCGCUAUUGCUCUAAGUGCCAAUCCGGUUCAACAUAAACGUACAAAACAUAUUGAGGUGGAUGGUCACUAUAUCCAUGAUAUCCAUGCUGGUAUUAUGACUACUACCCAUGUGUCCUCUCAACAACAAUUAGCAGACAUUCUCACUAAGGCGUUGGGACAAAGAGAGAACUCCAUUUCUUUCUCUGCAAGCUGGGCAUUCUUGAUGUAUAUGCUCCAACUUGAGGGAGGGUGUUAAAUAUAUUUGCUACUUAUAUUCUUAUUAUUAGAGUGCAUCUUAGUCAAUAGCUACUAGUCAAGCUUAGUCAACUCUACUUUGCCCCUUUUGGUUUUUCCAUGGUAACCACAUUAUGUACUUUAGGUUAUAUCAUCUUUUUGUAUAAUUAUGGCUUUUAACGCCUAAUCAAGAUAACACAAAUUAAAACCAAUCUCUGUCUCUUGCCUUAAAUCUGACACUCUUUUGGAUAAGUUUCUUUUAAAAGCGUUUAAGAAAAAUUUCAACAUUGCUAAUUAUGAGAUAUAUGUCAACAAACUCAAGGCAUUGUUUUAUAAGAAUACUAGAUAUUUCGCCAAACCACUCAUGCUAUAAUGGGAGUGAAAGUCUUAAAUUGGAAUAUUAAGAAUAAGAUCUUUUAUCAUGACUCGUAAUUCAUAUCACAAAUGUCAAAGCUGAACGUUUCAAUAAAUCUAUCGAAAGCAUUAAUCCUUUAAAUAGAUGUGAAACAGCGAAAUAGAUAAGGGCACAAAGAAAACAGUAAAAGCGAUCAACAAGUUCGUAUGAGUCAAAACUCAAAAAAAAAAACAUGUUUAAAAAUAGGAAAGACCAAAAACUAACGACUAACCAUGUAAUACACUUGUAUAAAAAGACACUAUCCGUCUGUCCCUUUUCAUUAUCUACAGAUUAAUUACUUCUGAAUUUAAAAGAAGGAAGGCCAAUUCAAACAGUCAACAAUGAAUCGGCUCUCGUGUUUUCUGCUCGUUAUUGGAUUGUGCAUAGGAUUGAGUAACGCAAAUUUAAUAUGGAAUGAGAAAAACACUGUAUUCUUCAAGAGUUCCCUUGGUCGAAACAAUGUUUUGAAGAUUCAUUGCACAUCAGAAGACAAUCUAGGUUUCCAUUUUUUGCGUCCUGGAGAAACCUAUGAUUUUAGUUUCCAUGAUAGUAUUGUGAGAUCAGACUUUUACUGUGAAUUAUGGCAAGGGCCUAAUUUCAAGUUUCAUGCAUCAUUUAUGGCAUAUCAAGGUGGUGGUCUCAUAGUUCAUUAUGGUAAAAAGAACUUUUGGGAUGCUAGAGAAGAUGGAAUCUAUUUCACUCAUGGCAAAGAAACGCCCAAGUUAGAGUAUAAGUGGAAAUAAUAAUUAACCACUCAAUGUAUGAUGGAAUUGAGAUCAUCUUUUUUUACUUUUAACAAAAGCUUAUUGUUCUUGUGUACUAUUGUGGAAGGGAAACCUUUGAAAUAAAUUUAUCGAAAGUAUGUGAACUUUUGAAGACGAAAACUUUCAAUACUUAAGUCCUCAUCUAAACUAAUAUUUGUAGUUAAAUGAUUAAUGAAUAAUUAAUGUGAGAAAAUCCCUAAAAGAAUGGUGGAAAAAAAGGAAGAUGUGUCAAAUGAUUUUUGACUCAAAUUAGUUAAUCGGUAAACUAAAUACCUGAGUUAUGUAUGCUUUGGCAAAACACACUUAAUUGGGCUCACUAAUUGAAUUUACAGAUUAAGAUUUCGUCAAAGCCCAACAAAUAACGAUAUCCUAAUAUUUUUGUAGUAUAUGCAGCCCAUCACUUUAAAAAUUCCCGAACCAGAAUGCUACAUCAAAAUUAUAGCAUUCACAACAUGUUUCUUUUUGUCCAAGUGAGUUUGGAUGUAGAAAUUUGGAUACAAAACAAGUUGCAUAUUAUGAUGCAAUCGAAACUAGAGUUUAAAUGCAUCAAUUCCAUCUAUAACUAAUUAACGUAAACGACUAAAAAUCAACUAAUAUUGUCUAUGUCGACCCAAGUUAAUUCGGGUCCGCUUUUGCGAUACUUCCAGGGAUUUGUUCUAUUUUACCUUGCUUGUAGGACAUGUUCUAUGUUCUAAGCUUUUACAAUUCAGGUUGUAAGUGAAGCGUAUUUUUGUUUCAUUGCUUGUAAAUGAAACAACACAUAGUUUGUUAACGGAGUUGAUGGUUUCUAACCGCUAUAUCUCGUAGAAAAACUCUUGCUCCCAAGCUUCACUAUAUAAGGAAGAGGUUGCACACAUGACAUCACUACUAACUUUCGAUGUUGUCUUUUAAUUUUACGUUCACUCCAGAAACACAAGGAUAAAAACAACACACACACACACAAACAAAACAAAACAAAACAAAACUUGCUUGGAAAAUCUUAGUUUUUCACUUUCUCUAAAACUCUUUUUUCUUUUUUCGUCUUGUAUCACUUAUUACAUUUAUAUCUGAGCCUUUGUUAUGUAUAUAUAGCUGUAUGCAUUUGGGGCAAAGCCCUUCCGAGAACAUGUCUCCCUUCUAUGUCAAACUUCGUCUUGUGACUCUUGACCAUGAAAGCCCAUUUUUUGGGUGUGUUAGAGCAUCUCCAACAAGCCUUCUAACCUUCAAUUUAUUUUGAACCCUCUAACCCUUAUAUUUUUAGGAUGUAAAUAGUGCACCUCGAAUUUUAUGGUGCAUUUUUUACACCCUCAGGCCUCAACAACCAAAACUGAUUAUUGUUAAUAUUGCACAUAACAAGAGAACGGAAAAAUACCUUGGUAGUUUCAUAUCUGUAACAUAGUCAGACGUAUCAUUAGUUUAUUUAAAACAGUUGUACCACGAUUGUCUACGAAUACAGAAAAGGAAAAAAAAAACGAAUAUGAAAUUUUUUCCAAGGAAAAAUAACUAGUACUACGAUUUAAUGUACAAAGAUAUAACUUAAAAACCUCUGUCAAAAAUAUCAUAUAAUAAAUAUUUCUUAUAUUAAAUAUAGGAAACACAAUUCAAUAUGUAUAAGAAAAACAAUAGUAUUUUCACAUUUCCACCAAAUCUUCUAUGAUUUCAAAGAUUUUUAAUCUUUUGAUAGUGGAAGGAUCUUUGUUUAUAAUCGUCAAAGAAGAUACAGUAUCACAAUUAGAUUUAGAUACACAUGCGUGUGCAUGUAUUUUCUAAAAACAAGAAAAAUUAUACUCUCAUAUAAUAUGCAUUCUCACUUACGAAUAACUAAUUUGCAUAGGGUGUUGAUUGCGAUACUGAAUUGAUCAAAAGAUUAUUUCUUUGCUAUGUUCUUUAUUGGGGCGUAUCUAAAAUUAUGACGAUAUGUUUUUGACUUGUCAAUUCAGAAGAUUGUACCACUGAAUUAUUCUAUACAUAUUAUAAAAAUUAUACAUUUCAAAUAUGUUUUUUUCCACAUUUUGUACGAUUUUCAGACUUGAACUUUCAGAAGAAAAAAAAAACAUUUGCCUUUAAAAAUACAAACUAUAUUCAAAAUCUAAUUGAAAACAAAGAAUGACAGAAGACAACACAAAUGCGCAAAAAAAAAUAAAAAAAUCAUGAUCGUACAUAUGAAAGAGUUUCUUUUAAAUUUAUCAAAAAAAAAAAAUCGUGAAGGAUUUUCUUUUAAAACUUUUUUUAACUUUCUGCAAUGUGGUAUUUUUAUACAUAUGCCACAUAACACAAAUGUUUUUUUUUCUUUUCCAUUUAAUCCGACUAAGACCUAAUAAUUAAAAGAUAUACCUAUCAUAAGUUACCAGUUUUAUUUAUUUCUGAUCAAUUUCAAAGGUUACUGACCACAUAUCAAAAAAUAUUAUAAGAUAUAAAGAAGCAAGAAUCAACCUUAGUCAUUGUAAGUGCAAAGGCUGCCACCAAACUUAACCAAGAAAAAUUAAAUAUGAACUCCUUUUCCCCCAUCACUAAUCAUUCUUUUUGUUUCUUUGAUUAUUAAAUUUCAUGUUUUAUGUUUGUUUAUUAUUUUAAGGCUUAUCUAGAUUGAACCCAUCUUAAUAUUACAUUAUGACUUAUUAUUAUUGAAUUUCAACUCACUUUCUAAGCCAAUAAAGGUGAUCGAUGGACAUAUGCUUUUGGCCUUAUGCCAGAGAGUUAUUGAUUUAUACCAGUUGCAGUCUCAAAGCACAUAAUAUGACCUUACACAUAGACAACAGUCACAACUUUUCAUAUCUUUGUGUCUUUAAAUUAGAACUAAGAAGAUUUAUUUAUAUAUGUACAACUAGUCUUUUUUGAAUAAACUAAAACAAAAGCUUUAAUUUGGCCUAAAGAAAACACAAUCAUUUGGAAGAUGUGGUAAUUAUAUAAUACAUUUAUUCGAAAUCUCCUUCUCAGCCUUCUUACUUCGAAUAACAUAUCUACUAUAUUUUUGGCAUAUCAAUAGUUUUUUUGGAGUUUUAAAAGUAUGUGUAUAAAAGAAGUUUAAGAAUAACAAUUCAAAGAUAUAUGUCAUCCAUAAACAUAUUUCUUCUACUACCAUAGAUCAUAUUAAAUUCAUUUACUACACAAGUUUAUGUUUCAAAUACUAUAUUUUAAAACAUGUUACAUAAACCAAUCAUGCGGGUUUUUGAGUUUGUUCUCGUCACACUUUACACAAAACAAUAGAAAAUGUCUUUUUGAGGAAAAAGAAUUAACAUAAUUUGAUGUCAUAGUAACAUUUAUUCCGAUUUGUAUCCCUCAUGAAAUUCAAAAUCUCCCUCAAUCUCAAAAUCUUCCUUCUAGCCGUGCUUUACCAAGGCAUUCCAAAUCAAACUAUUUAAACCGCGAAAAUCCUCAUGAAACCAAUGGCUUCAAUAUCACUUGAACUCCAUACUUAGGUUUUAUAGUAAGCACAACGAUUGGGGCAUGCCUAUAAUUCUUUGAUAUUGUGAAGUUAAACUUUGAAAUUAACGUGGCUAAUAUUAUUUUAGCUUCCAUCAACGCAAACUGUUGUCCGAUGCAGUUCCGUGGACCGGCUGCAAAUGGGAUGAAAUGGCGACCAGACGCGAAUGGUCUGCCUCCAAAACGUUCGGGAUUGAAUUGGUUCGCGUCUUUACCCCAUAAUUCUUCACUGUGAUGGAUAGCAAGAACCGGUAUCCAUAUUGAUAAACCUUUAGGAAUGGUUAGAUCACCUAGUUUUAGAUCUUCAAAUGCCAUCCUUGGUAGAAGAGUAGCUGGAGGGUAAAGUCUUAGUGACUCGUUAAUCACUUUGCUUAACUGUUCCAAAGACAAAGAAAAAGAAGUUAGAAGACUAUUCUAUUAAUUCAUUUUGGAAUCAUAUCUUUGUGAUCAUGCGAAGUGCUUCUUGACUCUUUCUCAAACAUCUUUUAGUUUGGGAAUUGACUUUUCCUUUUGAAAAAAAUAUCAAUGAAGCUGUCAAGAUCUAAUCAUUAGUUAAUACAUGUUUAGAUUUCUUAGAUAAUAUUUUAUGCAAAGCAUGCCUUAGUGCUAAUCACUAAACAAAUGGAAGAUGUCUUAUUUAACCAUUUAUUUAUGCCUGAAAGAUCUAUUUACCAAUAUCUAUAUCGUAUCAAAUUUCAAACCUGGCUUAACCAAUGCUAAUCAUAUCUAAAUAGUAUCACUAUAAAACUAAUCAGAAAGUAUGAUUCUAUGUAAAUCGGUUAUAAUAAACAUGUAACGAUUUAACCCAAUAUGAAUAUAUCUUUAAAGCUCAAUAAACAUACACAUUGUUAAAAAACAAUAUUUGUGUUCUAACUAGGAUUGAAGAUAAAGGAAUAAAGACAAAAUUAAAUGAUAUCUACUCAUUAGGGUUCUUCUGUGCCGACUAUGACUAUGUUAUAAGCUUAGUUAUGGAAGAAGCACUACGAUGCUAGUGGCAUUGUCUAUACUGUGUUAAAUGUUAAUACCCCACACGCACCCAUCCAUCCAUCAUAAAGCUAAUUCUACUAGUCAAAUAAAUUAAUAGGUUACUAUAAUAUAUAGUUAUAUGAUUAUUAUUUGGAGCAAACAACAAAUAUUAUCUUUUUAUAUCUAUGAGUUAAUGGAGUUCGAGUCACUGAUGCGUGGUCAGACAAAAACUUAAGGUUGAAAAGUUGAAACGGUCACUGAUGGAUUAGUACUAAACCGUAUUUUCAUGAUUUUUUAACAACACCAAACUCAUGAAUGGUGAGCCGACGUAACCGCAAGUAGACUAAUAUGUCUCGUCUGCUAGCUAUUUACGUUCCAAACUUAGGUAAAACUUAAUUCCUAUGUUAACAAUCUCACCAAAAGAUAAGACUUUGCAAGAGAAGGACUAAUUUUAUGUCUAGAUUUUAGAAGUUAUUGUAUAAUAUGUAUUGAAAAGUGAAUGUACGUACCGAGGUUAGCUUAGAUAGUUGAUCGACUGAGGGAAGGCCAUUGCGGCCAAAGACCUCCCUGACCUCCUCACGGACUUUUUCCUGCCAUGUGGGAUUAUCGGCGAGGAGCAUUGUUGUCCAUGUGAGGAGCAAAGCCGUGGUUUCAUGGCCAGCAAAGAAGAAUGUCUUGCAUUCAUCCAUUAUCAACUGAAGAUUGUUGUUGUUAUUGUUAUUGUUCUUGUCAAUAUCCAUUUCGUUCAAGAGAAGCCCGAGAAGGUCGUCACCGUGAGUGCUACUCCUACCCAUUUCAGCGCAGUCUCGCCUGCUUUGUAUGAUCUCAAUCAACAAACGCUCAACUUCUUUUUUCAGAGACUUGAUCUCUCUGUUGUAUUUGCUUGGAAGAAACCUACAUAUACAAAAGAUUUGUUAUUAAGUCAAUGUUAGACCACAGUUAAAGUUUAAUCCUAAAACAAUAUACGUUUUAAAGCUUCACCGAGGAUCACAACAAAUAAAUAGAAAAACUAAAUUUUGUUAUGUAUAACUUAAUGUUUAAGAAUUUGUAUGGUGGCAGCCGCGGUCUGUCUGCUGCCACCAUUACUGAAAAUAUAGAGAUUAAUUACGAUUUCUAGGGUGAGGAAGAAAACCAACCGGCUGCCGGGAAAGCAGAGGUGGCGGGUGGCUUGAGCGCAACGGCGCUGGAGGACAGUGAGGUGGUUGAAAAGCUCUUUGCCUUUCUCAAAGCUGCUUCCGAACUUUGUCCUCGAUAUAAUAUCAGCCGUGAGUUUAUGCAUCUCCUCUCCUAUCUCCACCUCAUUUGCUCCUUCCCCAACUUCCUUCCUCAACCUCUCAACUAGCUUGCUUGUGCACUCCACCAUAUGCCUUGCGUAUCCCUACAUCAUAAGGGUACUUCAGUCAUUCAACGUCAAGUAACUAAGCAUUGUUUUUUGCAUGAGGCUAGUUUAUUGACGUGCCUUGAGUCUUUCUCCGGUAAAUGCCGGUGCAGCAAGGUGGCGUUGGUGGUGCCAAUCUUGGCCAUUAGCCAUUAGGAGACCGCGACCGAUAAAAUUCUUAGUCCCUUGUUGUUGUAGCCACGAUCUUCCACUAACACCGUUGUGUUUCAUCAGCAACUCCUUUAUCAAUUCCGUUUCCGUUAAGCAAAGCCGAGGAUCCGUCCCGUUCCACACAAUAAACCUCUUCCCUGUUUCAUCAAAACGUAAAUUUAUCUAAGGAUUACUCAUUUUAUUACAUGUAACCCUCCUUUAAUCAAAGGCCAAACAUUCUUCAGUAUGUUUUACGGAGAAAAAACAAAAAAUACAUGGAGGGUAUUUCCGUCAUUUUAUCUGGCUCCAUUGAUAGAUGUCACUUACAAUUAACAGACCAACUUAAUAACGAAAUCUAUGUAUAGACUUCACGACCAAGAAAACACAAACUUGUUACAAUUCAAGACCAUACCGUAUUGUUUGGACCAAGCAACGUAAUGCGGGAGAAGGCGGCCGACGAUGUCAUGGUGAAUAGAGUCACAAUCCUUGGAAGCGGAUUGCGAAACCAUGGCCGAGAUUUCAAGGAUAUUUCCGGUUAACGGACGCGGUUUAGGACCCGUUACGCCUUGCUGUUCCAUGAUCUUCUUGAUUCGUCUAGGUGUUAGCCAGUAGCACGAUAUGGUGUCGUAUAAAACUCUCAAUAUCGUAGUCACGAAUAUCACGAGGAGUGAUUUUAAUAUAGUAAGCAACAUUUUUGGGUUUUUUCUUUUCUUCUUCCAGCAACAAAGAUUCGAAAAGAAAAACAAGAGAUAUUAAGAGGGUGAGAUAAAGAGUAAUGGUGUAUUUAUAGUGUCGAGAUACAAUAUAAAUUCAUGUAGGGUACUAAAUCUGGGAGAACUAAUUAUGGUAUAACUUUGUUGCAUAUUCUCACUUAAAGAAAUGGAAGAUAUUGAGACUAAUUAAAUUAGUAAAUCUCGUUAUUUUUUACCUUGCUUGGCUAAACGUUUCCAUUUAAUUCUUAUACUUUUAAGAGAGACACUCCAAAUUAUUAUUACAGAAACAAGUUGUGACAUUUCACAAAUGCCAACUUUGGGAAGUUUCCAGAACUACAAAAAAAAAAACAUUUAUGUUCACGAAGGGUUCCUAAAAGUUUAAGAAAUAAAGUAUCCCUAAAUUUUUAAGAACUCUUCUUAAAUUAUAAGAAAUGUUUCAAUCAUUUAGUAUUACUUCCUGAAUUUUUAAAACAUUUUAUAAGAUUAAAAUUUGUGGCCUUUUCUUAGAAAAUGUUGUAUACCAAAUAUGAUUAAAAAAAAAAAAAAAAAAACUCAUUUCCUGAGAAUCAAAAGAGAACAUCUCAGCUCAAUUAUGAUCGAAUCUUGACCAUAAUUAUGUACUAAAACUUAUAUAGCGUAUUACUGAGAGGGUCGAGAGAGAAAAGGACUUGAAAAUAAAAUUAAGUCUCCUGAAACAGUAAGAACUACCAAGAAUUGUUCUCGUAUUUGUCCCAGUCCCAGUCCCAGUCCCACACAAAGCUGGAUCACAUAAACCAUUCAAAAUCACUGCUUAGGUAUAAGUGUUUGAUUUCUCUUUUAAUUCGCCUAUGAUCCAAUCUUAACCAUAAUUAAUCUAUGAGAUGUAAAGUUUCAAGAAUUUGUUUCUAAAGACAACACAAAAAAAAAAGGUCGUGUUAAAUACAAUGUGCUUGAUAUAUAAAAAGUUCGAUCCUGGCCGUCUCAUUAAGGGGACAACAUAUUAAUCUGAUAGCUAUGACCUGUGUCGCUGUAACAUUCGGGACAUGAUUGCACAACACAAAAUUUCAUUAAAACCUUACGUUUCCUUUCAUAAAGGUAAAAUCUCUACCCCAAUUUUUGAAACCACCCCAAAUUUUGAAACCUACGUCAUCAACAAUUUAUACGCAUUGGAAUAUAGACCAACAUUUAGUAAAACCUGGACCAAAUACAACAAGUCUGAUGUUAAACCACCGUUUCUGUCUAGCUCGAUUCUACUGUGAUGAUCGGAGUUGGUUCGGUAAAGACCCUAAGCUACAUUAAAUCUAUAGGCAAAAAGACAGAGAAAACAAAAAUGGAACCGAGUUAAACAACCUUGCUCUUCAGAUUUGCUUCUUUUCUUUAUCAGAGGAUCCGAAAUGACUUGACAAAGUCCACUGCGUAUAGUUGGUGUAAAAGGCAAACAUUAUAAAGUAUGAGAAACAGAGAAUCAUGAUCAGUGCUUCGAAUAGGAAAGGGUACUUCUGAGGAGGUUUAAUGGUAAGAUAGAGGACAUGAAGAACUACGGAGAUGAAGAAAUGGGUUCGUAGUAAGAAAACAUAACCCGGGAAGUUUUUAAAGGAGAAAAAUGAAACGUCGGUUUUCUGUAUCGCAUGGUGAUUCCCGGGUGAAUGAUAGAUGACGGUGAAGAGAAAAGAUAGUGUUAAGUAAGGGAUCAAGAGUUUGUCACGGCAAAGAAGAGGGAACAUCGAGAAGAGAGCGUAAUAGGUUAAAUGACUGAAAUGGUCAGGUAGUUUGAGAGCUAAUAGUGUUGCGGAGAGAAAAGGCAUCAGGAUUGAUUUCUCAUGCACUGCAGAUUCAAACACAAUGAAAGAAAAAAAGGGACUGUUAGAUAUUAAUUGAUGGCAACCGUGAUCGAAGAUCAAAGUGAAAUAUUUAUACCUUGGAAGGAAAACAAGUAGAAAGCCAUUGAACUGUUGAGCAAGCCAUAUAGGAAACCUUCAUUGCUUGGUGACAAGAUUUGCUGAACCAUUGAAGGAAGAGAAGCCAAUAUAGUUGCAGCUAAGCUGAUAGACUUGAGGGAUUGUGUUGUGAACAGAUUUUUCCAUUUUAUGAGUAUGGAAGUAGUGCACCAGAAAUUUGCCACGUAAUCCUCGUAUAUUCCCCUCUCAAAUGGAGCAAGACGGGAGAGAACCUGCAUCAUCAGCCAUUUACUUCAUAUUAAUGAGCACGAAAACGAAUGAGACCUAUUGGGUGUAUGCAAUUUACAUCAGAGGAGGAAGCAAAGAGUACAAUCUCUUAGUUCUACCAGAGACAAACAAUUAGUUUUCUCGAGAAAUUAUCAAAUACGUAUUUACCAUUAAGAAGUCGUCCAAAGAAUGCACAUAUGGCCACCAAAAAAUAACAAAUGUCACUAUGACUGCAAUUCCAAGCUUAAUCACAGAAAGUAUAGGGCUCUUCCGUCUUAGGCAUUUACCCAGUAGAUGGCUGAAAAAGGCAGGAGCAAAGUAUGCACUCAUCUGCAACAUCGACACAAUGGAAAAAGUGUGACCAGCAUGUUAUAAACGGGAACAGAACAGAAAUGAGGUACAUACAUAAACAAAGGGGUAUAUCAAGCACCACAUAAGAUUAACAAUAUUGUAUGUAUAGAACAUUUUACAUAAAUGCAACGAUGUGAAAUAUGUAUGGCCAUAAACACUACACUACAGUCUCAACAAAUUAGACAUUUUGACAUAACGGUAGUAACUACUCAUAUUUUCCAGGGAACUAAAACCAUCUAGUUUUUCAGUCUAUGAGAUUGAUAAAAGCCAUUACGUGUCAGAUCAUCUACAAGUAUACCAACUUUCUACAAGGGAAACAUAAGAAUACAGAAAUGAAAUCCCAAAGUCACCUGUUUAUGGCUGAGGGCUAGACUGAACAAGACACAAGUGAGAACCUCGCUCUCACAUAGUACCGCAGCAAUAGCACCAACUGUAAGUCCCAAGCUGAUACAAUUGUACUAUAACAAAUAAAAAUUCUAAUGAGAAUCAUCUUACAACCAUAGAAAAAGGAUACAUAAUCACAACACCAAUAGAGGUAACGGUCAAUACAAACCUGAAAAUGACCGUGAUCAAUGAGGAUCAAGCAAGGGUUUAAGAGAAUCAUAGCAAUAUGCCAAGCCACUUCACUCUUACCACCCCUAGUUCGAUUCCUAUGGUACACCAACACGAAAAACAGAGCAGCUGGGAAAAAUAUGAAAGCAUCAGACGAUAAAACUGUCCAUCUCAUCAACAAUUUUCUGCAUAACAAAACUCGAAUUAGUAAACCCUAAUUACACAACAAGCAACCAAUUGAAGAAUCAGAUCAUUUACCCAAGAUAAGAUUCGUGACCACGAGAGCUUAGAAGAGCAACAGAUUCAGGAUUGAAGAAUCGGAGGAAGAUUCCAUGGAUGUAACUUUGAUAAGCAGUUAAAGGAGGAUAAUCUAAUCCCCAGUAAGUGAGAUCGUUGUAAGUGCCAUUUCUAUACCAAUCGAUAACUGGAAGAUUUGUGGUUAUCUCCAUCCAAUGUCUCUGAGCUUCGAAAUCGCCGAAUUUAGGAGGAAUUCCGGCGCCGGAGUAUGGAUACAUUGUUACAGCAGAUCGGAUCAGUAAUGCGAAGAGGGAGAUGCAGAGAAAUGAAGUUGUGGUUCCUUUAUGUGUUAGCCACCACCAAGUAUCAAUCGAAGAUCCGGUUUGUGGUGAUACCGGAAUGGUGAUGUCAUCUUCGCCGGAAUGUUUCGCCGGCUUCUUCUUCGGCAUCCUUUGUUUUGUUUGUCUUCUCCGUUUAGUUUUUUUCUCACCUAAGCUAAGCUGAUGCAAAAUCGAUUUACGGGGAUCGGUCUCAGUUUGGGUUUAGGAAAUAUUAAUAAAAGGCCCUUGUAUUUUUAUGUUUCUAUAAAUUUAUCCUUGAAAAAUACAAAAACACCAUUCGACUCACUUUUUAUUUUAUGUUAACAACUUGGCUAAAGACACAUCACUAACACCAUUCGACUCACUAAAACUAUGAAAUAUAACUUUCACAUUAUAGGUUAUAGACUCGUUUUGAAUAUUUUUAAAAAGACUAUAUGAAUAUUUUUAAAAAGACUAUAAUACAAUAUAUAUUAAAUUUUUGAGAUGAAAAUAGUAAAGAUGGUUGGUUUGAGAUGAAAAUAAUAAGGAUGGUUGCUAUGAGAAAAUGUUAUUCUUCAAAGGGAAAUAUUUUUUCUUAAAACAGGGAUUAGCGAUUCGCAUCCUCUUCUGUCUUUCUUAGUACGUUUGUGUUAUAGCUUCAUUUCGAAUGACUGGAUUGUCCGAAUUACUCAUGUGUAUAGGGAAGCUAAUCGUCUCGCAGAUGAAUUAGCGAAUCAUGCUUUUUUGUUACUUUUGGGGUUUCAUAGUAUUCUUCUUAGGCUUGAUUUUGCUACUUCGAUUAUUUUUGAGGAUGAUAGUGUUGUUACGCGCCCACGGAAUAUUCGUGUGUAAUUUUUUUUUUUUAUUUUUUUUUAAUAAUAUGGGAGACUAAUCUCCCUCAUUCUACCAAAAAAUUAAGGGAAAUAUUUUUUCUUAAAUUUGUUGAUAUGAUAAUUAUGGUCUACAUAAUAUCGUGUUUUAAAUCAAUAUAUAAUAAAUGUUGGUUAAAACAAGAGCAAUAACAUAAUUUUGGUGAAAUUUCUUGGGAAGGUAAGAGGAAAACUUCCUUGAUAGCAUGGAAGUAUGUAAAUUAGGAAAUUUCAACAAAGCCUUACUUGUGAAACAAUUCGGCCGGAUCGUACAUUUAUCGAAGCUAGUUACUUCCUUGUAAAAAGUUUUUUAUGUAGUGAUGGUGGUUGUAGACCUUUGUAUACUUGGAAUAGUGUUCUCUAUUGAUGAGAUCUCUUGAAAAGUGGCAUAAUAAGCAAUAUUGGACAAAUCUACUAGGGUUUGGCUUGAUAAAUGGCUUAUGGAUGAACAACCAAGGAGACCCACUAAGAAAUAAAUUUUAUUUAUUAUUAAACUUAAGGUUGCUAAUUUGUUGAAUGAGAGAGGUGUUAAUUUCUCCCAAAUGAUGUUAAUCAAGUCUUAUUGAUUUAUCUUAAUUCAAACAAGAAAGAUUUUUCGUUUUGGCGAUUCAAUAAAACUGGAGCUGAAAUCAAAAUUCUUUCUAGGGAUAUAAAGAGUUUGUUGGAUUCAUCUCUUGAAAAAUUCUUUAAAAGCAAAUCAGGGAACUAGACGAAGAUUUUAGCGGAAGUAGCUCAAAAAGCAAAAGCAUCCAUGAAAAUUGCUAUGGUAGAUGAAUCACGAAAAGCUGAAAAAGCUCUGAUCGCUAGUAAAUAGUAAUAAUAGAUUGAGUCUAGUUGAUCAGAAGAAACUUGCACAAGUUAUCAAGGUGGUGGUCGAAAUGGAGGAUGAACUCGAGGAGAAGGUUCAAAAAGUCGAGAAGAUAAACAGAAAGGUAGAUGAGAAGAUGAAGAAGAAGGCAAAGAAGAGACAUUUUUCGUUUUUGGUUUGUUGAAUGUUGAUUCGUCUUCAGCUAUCAUAUCAUGUCGGUGUUAGACUUAAAAUAAGUGUUUACCAAUAACUUAUACAAGAGAGGUUCUACACCGUUUACCAAGAGAAUCAAAGAAUGCAAAGUUUGUAACUUUUGUUUGUGGUUUAAAAGAACACCACAAUCAUUGUUGAAUGCAUAACAUAUUUCAACCAGAUAAGGAGUUAAAGAACUUUUAUAUGGAUCUAAUACUUAACCACUAAUACUAAAAAUUGAUCUUGAAGCAACAUAGGAGAUUUGAGUAGUUAGAACAUAUCUAGCAAAUUCUGAUCUAUUGUGAAAAGAAUAACUAGAGACGGAUGACUUAAUUUCUAUAUAGCAUUUGGAGGGUCAUAAUGACUUGUUUUUAUUUACGUGUUUUACGUUAUUUUGUUUUUGUCAAAAGGCUUUCAUAAAUUAGUAAUACUCUAUAAAUAAAUAAACACAAUAAAAUACUCUUUCUUAUCGAUUUAGGUAUGGCCAAUGUAAAAAACUAAAAAUUAACAAAAUUUUGAAACUUCUAUACAUUUUUAUGGUUCUAGUAAUAUUAUAAAUUUAUACAUAUAUAGCUAAGAUAAUAUUCUAAAUAUGACUAUAAUAUUGUUUGUAAUUUGAAUUAUUGUUAGCGUUAUUCUCUAAUGUUACUUAUUAUUCAAAAACUCUUCGGUGUUUUCGAUUUGUAUCCAAAUUUUAUGAUAAAUUCUAAACACGAUAAUUAAUUUACAAAAAUAAAGUACUUAUUUGAGUACCCUUAAAUUUAUGUUUACUUGACUUCCCAGUUCCCAGCCAGUAUAAAUCUUUUUCUUAUAUUUAAAUUAAUUAAUUAACUUUGGAUAUAGAAUUGAAUUAUUAGGAAAAUAUAUACAUAUCAAUCAAAAAUAUAAUAUUUAUAAGCUUAAUACAAACAUAGAAAUAUCUAUAUCUAUAUAUAUCUAGCUUAAUUAAUUGGAUAGUAAAAGCUUAUCUUUGCAUUUUUAUUAUUUUAAUUAAUUACUUGUAUAUAUAUAUUAUUUUAAAUACUUAUUAGCAUAUUGACAUUUAAGAUACAAGGUUUAAAUUUCUUUUGUUAUUUUGAACAGAAGUUUUGUUAAUCAGUAAAAUAAAAUUAUUGUAAAUAAAAGAAAAGAUUUUGUGCAAAACAAACUCCAAAGUCGUUUAUUUUUGUAACUUUAUCUUUCACGUUUAAAAAUACAAAACAAAAUUAUGAAGUAAAAAUAAUACGUAAUGUAGUCGAUUUUACAACUUUACAUCUAUUGUAAACGUUUUCACGAUCACAUAUAUUUGUUUUUAAAAGUUUUAAAGAUAUAGUUGAACUCCUCAUCUCAAGGGCUUUGAUUUGAUAAAUUAUCUAUCUAAAUUUUAAAAUUAUUUAUCAAAAUUUUAAAAUUUGACAAUAGCAAAAAAUUUGACAUAUGUAUAAUUUUUGAUUUAGUAUUAUUAUUCUGCAUUGUUAAGAUGUAAAAUGUAAAGUUGUAAAAAGUAAAUGAUUCCGAGGAUUUUGUGUAAAAAACCUUAAAAUGUUUUAGAGUUUCUUGCACUAAAAGGAUAACUUUUACUUUUUUUCCAAACCCCAAAGUCUGAUUUACCUGUGAGUUAACAACAAUUACUACUCUCUUUGAGUAAAAAUCGCAUGCCAAAAAGAUUAUAGAAAAUAUAAUACCGAAGAAAAUUCCAAAUAUACAAGCAGUAAAUUAAGUUGAUUUUGGGAAUAGUCUACAAUCCCAUGUACACAUCUCCACUACAUUCCAUACACCUUUUUUAAUCUAACGGCUCACAAACAAUAAAACUCUCCGAAUAAGUAAUCACCACGUGAUUUAUCUUGACACACCAAAGUUUGUAUAGACGUGCAUGUAUGUAAUUAAUUAACCUUUUAUGUACUAUGAAUUAACUGUGUUGAUAUAUAAAGGGUGACUCAAUACCCCAAAAGCGGUCUCUCUCUAUACUUUGCUUCUCUCUCUAAACUUCUCUCUUUCUUUUUUUCUCAAAGCUUUUUUCCUUCUCCCUAAACGAUGAAGAUUUUCGUGAAGACUCUCAGUGGUUCGAACUUCGAGAUCGAAGUAAAACCUGCAGAUAAGGUAUAGUGAUUUCUUGAAUUCGAAUCGUCUUCUCUGUUUCUUUAACUGUUUAUUAGGUCUGAUUUGGUUCCGUAAUUCGAUUUUGCCUUGGGGAAAAAUUCCGGUGAAUUAGCGAAUCUCGUAGUAUCUGAUUUAAAAUUCUAGGUUUCGUUUGCAUCGUACUCUUGUUUCGGGUUGGGAAUUGUUUGUGACGAUGCGUGUUUCUGUUUCUGUGAUUGGAUUCGAAUUCGAAUUAGGGUUUUUCGUGAGUAUGUAAGUAUAGUGAUUGUAUGUGUUGGGAAUUUAAUUAUAUACUGUGUAAAUUGUAUAUAGUUAUGGCUUCUUGUUUUCCCAUCAACAUUCGUUGCUUUAGUGAUCAUGCUGGAAUCUGAUUUUGCUUCUUUAAGAUUAUGUUAGAGCUAAUCAUACUUAGAUUCACAAUAUUAGUCAUUAUAUUUGCUAAACCUUGAGGCACCUAUGGAUUAUCAUACGUAAUGAUAUAGUAUUUGUGAAGUUUUCUUUGGUGUGACUUAUUUGUUUCAUUGCUAGUCUUAUAUCUUCUUGAUAGCCUUUAGCUUAAUGAUGUCUGUAUGAUUUGGUAUCUGAGUUUAUUUUUGGCUUUUUCUAGGCUAAGUUAUAUGUGUGAUUGAGAUGCUUAUUAACAUUGUUGUUGAUCGCAGGUUUCUGAUGUUAAAACGGCUAUAGAAACUGUUAAAGGUGCAGAAUACCCUGCUGCUAAGCAGAUGCUGAUCCACCAAGGAAAGGUUCUAAAGGAUGAGACCACAUUGGAAGAGAACAAUGUUGUUGAGAACAGUUUCAUUGUUAUCAUGUUGUCCAAGGUGAUGUACUAGGUCCACAGUUUCGCAUUAGUAUUAGUAACAGGAUUUUAGUAGUUAGUGGAUGCUAACAAGUUUUAACGUUUGUAUAUAGACCAAGGCUUCUCCAAGUGGGGCAUCAACCGCAUCUGCACCAGCACCUAGUGCUACACAGGUGAAUAAAAGUUCUUAUGUAAUAUGGUUAUGGUUUCUAUUUGUAAGUGACAACAAAAUAGUAUAUCUAGAUAACAGUUUUGUCUAAUAGAAUUGCUUGGAUUUUCUGUAACAGCCACAGACAGUAGCUACACCUCAGGUUUCUGCUCCUACUGCCUCAGUGUAAGUUGCCUUCCUCUGGCAUUGAUUUACCUCCUUUUGAAAGAGAAAUUGUCAGCUUCUUAUGUAGUUGCCGGUUUGCUGAUUCUCUGUUCUUUUUACUUGCGUUCUCAGUCCAGUUCCUACAAGUGGAACUGCAACCGCUGCAGCUCCAGCUACUGCUGCUUCGUAAGAACUUUUCAGAAGUAUACUAUAUUCAUUUUCGAAUAUCUGUUCAUUGAUUGUGUAAAUGUUGCCCACUUUCUUGGUUGAAACAGGGUUCAGACAGAUGUGUAUGGUCAAGCAGCAUCAAACCUUGUUGCUGGAACUACUUUAGAGUCCACUGUUCAGCAAAUUCUUGAUAUGGGUGGAGGUAGUUGGGACCGUGACACUGUUGUUCGUGCUCUGAGAGCUGCGUUCAACAAUCCUGAAAGAGCUGUUGAAUACCUGUACUCGGUAUGAUUCAUUCCACUUCUUGAUUUUACGUUUUUCUUUGAUAUAUUGUAUCUACCUUUGAUUUGCGGUUUGCCAGAAUUUAAGCAACAUUUGCUCUUGAACUUUUGGUUGAUACAUUUCAGGGUAUCCCUGCUCAAGCUGAAAUCCCACCAGUUGCUCAAGCCCCAGCUACUGGGGAACAGGCAGCCAAUCCUCUAGCACAGCCCCAACAAGCAGCAGCUCCAGCAGCUGCAACUGGUGGUCCAAACGCAAAUCCAUUAAACCUGUUCCCCCAGGUAGGGUUUUUAAACUGGUGAACCGAUUUCAUUUGCUCGUUUUCCCUUGUGAAUUUGUUUUAUUGACAUCCACUCUUAUCUGUCUCUAUCCAGGGCAUGCCCGCUGCAGAUGCUGGUGCUGGAGCUGGUAAUCUUGAUUUCCUGCGUAACAGUCAACAGGUAUUUUCAAUUUCUUUUCCAUUCGAGAACGGAAAUCUUCAUUUCUCUCCUCUUAUGUCAUUUGCAAUUCUUUUGCCUUUUCAUAGUUCCAAGCCUUGCGAGCUAUGGUACAAGCAAACCCACAAAUUCUACAGGUAAAAUUUUUAACCUCUUAUUCUUUAUUUGGUAGGUUAUAUGAUAUUGAUUUCCCACUUAUACUGUUUCGUUUUGCAGCCUAUGCUUCAGGAGCUCGGUAAACAAAACCCCCAGCUUGUGCGACUAAUUCAAGAGCACCAGGCUGACUUCCUACGCUUGAUAAACGAACCUGUCGAGGGAGAAGAGUGGGUUUAAUAUCAUGAUUCUCCUUUACGUUUUCAUUUUAUUCUUUUUUCUCAAUAAAGCAUGUAAUCUGACAUUUCAUUCGAUGCCACCAGGAAUGUUAUGGAACAGUUGGAAGCAGCAAUGCCACAAGCUGUUACCGUUACACCUGAAGAGCGUGAAGCCAUUGAACGGGUUUGUUCCUAUGAUCUUUACAUUUGUACCUUUACUAGAUGCUCUGGUUCCUCAAAAUAUAUGGCUUGUAUUGAAAUUUGAUUUUGCUGUUGUUUGUUUUGGUUUAGCUUGAAGGGAUGGGGUUUGAUCGUGCGAUGGUCUUGGAAGUGUUCUUUGCGUGUAACAAGAAUGAAGAACUUGCAGCUAAUUACCUUCUAGAUCACAUGCAUGAGUUUGAAGAUCAAUAAACAGAGCAAAUCCAUUCCUCCCUCUAAACUCAGACCAUCUUUCUGUUUCUUUUUCUUCUUCUUUUUAAUAUGAUAAUCUCUUCUCCAAUGCCAUUUGACAGUUUCAUGUUUAUGUUCAUGGGAGUUGAUGUGUUUAUGUUACUAUUAAAACUAUCAUAGUUUAUCUGGUUUGAAGAUGCUCCUCUUUUAUCAUAUUAUUAGCCUUUGAAUCCUUCCUCUCUUUAGGUCUCAGAUGCACCAAUAUUAGCUAAGAUUAAAAGUGGAUAUUUUGGUUCUAUAUGACUCAUCUCGAGUUAGGAAUGGUAUGUCGAAUCUGGUUUAACAGAUCUGGCCUAAAACGAAACCGCUAUUCAGAUCCAAUUAUUGGCGCUUACAUUGUUUUCUCAUAGCCUCAAGCUAUGCAAUAUCAAUUAUUGCACAUUUGAAUUAACACAAACCCAUCAAUUAAUAUAUCAACAAAAACCCAUCAUCAAUUAACACAUCAACACAAACAUAAAGACAUAUAAGUUGCUCAUGAAGAACUUAUAAUGGUGGAACCAGUGAGCCUUUGAGAUCUGUCAUAAUCGUCUCUGAAAUUGUCUCAAAUCGAGAGAGAAAUGAGAAAUCUUAAAAUUUUACCCUAAAUAAUUAAACCCUAGCUUUUAAUUAUUACUGCACAAAUUAUGUCUAAAUAAUUUUGCCCAUUUACUAGCGAGCUUAUAUGGUUUGUAAUCCAUUUUAAACACUUUAAUUUUGGGCUUCACCAAAACCCAACCAUUAUUAUUUGGACGUGGACAUCCCAUGGUCAGAAAACUCAUUCGAUAACCCUACAUUUGAUGAUCAAAGUGGCACGGAAGCUCGUUCGAUCUACAAGUUUUGUGGUGAGGAGACUUCUCAGUUUUUCUUCUAGUGUGGUUGUACUUCAGGUAAAUUCUUUUCAAUACUUAGUGGAAUUUUUCGCUAACUGUUUUGUGUAAAUAAGGACGAGGCCUCCAUAGCGUUCAGUGCUUUAACAAUGCCGUAUCCACUCUGCUAAUCUUGGAUUUCAAGAGGUAUGACAGUUUGUGUUGUGAUAGGAGCCUUCAUUAAAUUAAAUAAUUUCAACAAUUUAUUUAUUUUUAGAACCAAAAGAUUUUUCAAAAAUUUUGAUUAUCAAAAAAAAAUCCAACAGAUUUUCUGUUAAAAUGAAAAUAUAUAUUAGAUUGUUUUUAAAAAAAAUCAUCUGCCGGAAUUUGAAUCUGGACAUGCUUAUUUUCAAAAAAACAUUUUAGCUAAUGUGCUAGUGCAUAUGUUUUUGCUAAGGUAUGAAUUUAAAUUGGAUAUAUAGAUCAAUUUAUUUAUUUUAAAACCAAAAAAAAUUUAAAAAGAAACUUAGCGGGAUAUAAAAUAAAUAUAUAUUAAAUUUAAAAAAAAAAGAUUUUCCGCUACGGGAAUUUGAACCUGAAAAUGCUGAUUUUUAAAGAAAAUUUAGCUAAUGUGCUACAUGAGAUGUUUUUUUUGCUAAAGUAUGAGUUUAAAUUGGAUAUAUACAUCAUUCAAUUUAUUUUUCUAAUCUAGAAUUUGCUUUCCUAGGACAAAUAUAGGUACUGAAUUAUUAAAGAACAUAUUUUUUGGUAAGAUAUAAGUGAGUUUUUAUAUAAUUUUGAUGAUUUUAGGUAAGUUGAUGUGAUUUACUGUAAAGUCUUUUCAAAUUCUAUCUAAAACUAUGAGAUUUAGAUUUCUGUAUUUUUAACUAAAGAAGUCUUUUCAAAUCCUUUCAAAUCCUUCAAAAUUAAUAAGAAUCAAAUCCACUAACUAUUUUCAGUAACAGUAAAAAGGUUGAUUUUUAAAUUUUUAAUUUAAUAACACUCAAUUUCAUUUAAAAAUUUAAAAUCCAUAAUUAAAUAACAUAAAAUUUAUAAAUUUUACAUAAAUUAUUAGAUUGAAUACACCGCUCUAAAUAUACACAAUGUAAAAAGUCUGUUUAAGAUCAAUUAUAGAUUUAACUUAAAUCUAAAGGCCCAUAAUACCGUCCUGUACAUCAUAUAGUUAUCUCAAGUUGUAAUACUGUAAUACCCGUUGGGCCCAGUGGCCCAUUUAUCAGAUUUCAAAUAACAGAUCUCAACACUAGCAUGGCUACACACGUGUCAGAUUCAAUGCAUCAGUCAUAUCUUCAGCAUCCAACACUUGUCAACCUUCCAUUGGAUCUCUUAACUCUACGCCUCGAAAACAGUUUUUAUUUAUUUAUCAUUCCAUUUCUCAUUGUAUCUUCAUCAGUCUCUUCUUAUUCCAUUUUUUCAAACCACUUGCAAAAUUCGAAUCAGAUCUUCUCUUCAAUCGAAAAAAAAGAAAGGUAAAUCUCUCUCUCUCUAAUCAUCGUUCGUUUCGUAGUUUCUUCUUCUACGUGUAGAUCUGAUCUUUGAUUGUAUGUUUCUGGAGAUCUCGAUCUCAUCGAUUCUCUGUUCUUAUCACUGAUUCAGUGUGUUUGAUAUCUAAAUCCGAUUUGUGUGUAGGAUGUUAAAAUUUAGGUUUCGGUUUUGUUUCUGCUUUUGAACGAUUUUGCUCUAGAUUCGUUAUCCGUGAAGAACAUAGACGAGUAUGUAGAUCUUACUUCGGAUUCGCGUUGAAGAAUUUUCUCUAGAUUCGUCACCUAUGAAGAAGAUUCAUUGUGUUCUUAAUCUAGAUGAUUAGGUUAUUGUUUCGACUCAUUUGUUUAUGCCUAUUUUCUCUAUGUUCUUAAUCGGUGAAGAAAUGUAUCAAUGUGUGUAUGUUUUGGGUUCUGAUUUUGUAGGAUUUGCUCUAGAUUGUUGAAUCGAAGAUGUCGACAAGGGAAGAGAAUGUUUACAUGGCGAAAUUAGCCGAACAAGCUGAACGUUACGAAGAAAUGGUUGAAUUCAUGGAGAAAGUUGCGAAAACUGUUGAUGUUGAGGAACUUUCAGUUGAAGAGAGGAAUCUUCUCUCUGUUGCUUACAAGAACGUGAUUGGAGCGAGAAGAGCUUCGUGGAGAAUCAUUUCUUCGAUUGAGCAGAAAGAAGAGAGCAAAGGGAACGAAGAUCAUGUUGCUAUUAUCAAGGAUUACAGAGGAAAGAUUGAAUCCGAGCUUAGCAAAAUCUGUGAUGGGAUUUUGAAUGUUCUUGAAGCUCAUCUUAUUCCUUCUGCUUCACCAGCUGAAUCUAAAGUGUUUUAUCUUAAGAUGAAGGGUGAUUAUCAUAGGUAUCUUGCUGAGUUUAAGGCUGGUGCUGAAAGGAAAGAAGCUGCUGAAAGCACUUUGGUUGCUUACAAGUCUGCUUCCGUAAGUCAUUCUUUACAACGUUUUUGAAUGUUGUUUUCUUUUGUGGGUAUGAUUGAUUUUGUUGUUGUGAUAAUGCAGGACAUUGCCACUGCUGAGUUAGCUCCUACUCACCCGAUAAGGCUUGGUCUUGCACUCAACUUCUCUGUGUUUUACUAUGAAAUCCUCAACUCGCCUGAUCGUGCUUGCAGCCUCGCAAAGCAGGUUUGUGUAGUACACCUGAUUUUCACUUUUUGCUUCGUGUGUUAUUAUUAUCUCAGUGAAUGAAACAGCUAUUUUGGGUUUGUGCAGGCGUUUGAUGAUGCAAUCGCUGAGUUAGAUACAUUGGGUGAGGAAUCAUACAAGGACAGUACACUGAUUAUGCAGCUUCUUAGAGACAAUCUCACUCUCUGGACUUCAGAUAUGACUGUAAGUAUUAACAACACAAUAUACGUUGAUCACUAAGUUAUGUUGUUGACAUGAUGGUUUCUUUUUUGGUGAAUAGGACGAAGCAGGAGAUGAGAUUAAGGAGGCAUCAAAGCCCGAUGGUGCCGAGUAAACCCGAAGAAGAGGAAGAGUCAUUUUAUAAUGGUAGAAAACUUUCAUGUGAUAAUCUGAGUGAGGGAUAGCUCAGGAUUCUUAUAAGAGACACAGUUUUAUUGUUGUUUGUUUGUUUUGAAACUACUUGCGAUUUAUCAUUCCUCCUUUAGCUUCCUCAAUAUUUCCUAUUCUCCUUUCUAAUGAAAUCAAAACUUGGUUAUUUCUGAUAUGGUAGUUGUCUUUAUUUUCUAUUUUUUUGGUUAUUGAUUUGAUCAACUAAAAAAGUGUGAUAACUUUCUCAAAUUGAUUAAUUAAUGUACGAAAACACUUGCUGCAAAUGGAUCACUUCCAUGACAUUAUACUUUGAUAUAAUAUAUUACAAGAAAUAAAAGGUAACUAAAGUAGAGAAAACAAGAAACCAUAUUUAUAACAAAAUAUUUCAUUUCAAACAAUGGUAAAAGAUCUCAGAUAACAUAGGAGACAGACAAGUUACUACUAAUAAAGGAGAGAACCACACCAAAAUCCUAAUCUUGUUAAUUAACACUUCCAAUAAGUUACUGAAACUCAAAAUCACUGAAUAAGCUAGUGAACAAGUGAAGAGCUACUCUGUGUCAAGUGCAAAGCAGAGGACUCCACGGCACCUGAAAGUCCAAAGGCUGAUCUUGUCGCCGACUUUUAAGCUGCUACUUUUGACGACAUCAUUCCAACCCCAAUUCAAAGUGUAAUUCAAUGUUCCAUGUCCAGAGUCCUUCUCCAUCGCCCAUAUCUUGAAACGCAAACCCCACUUUUGAAAUCUUUGGUUCACAAGAACCGUUCCCACACCAAUAUUCUCGUCGUCUUCUUCAUCAUUGUCUUCGUCUUUCUGCAUAGCUCUACACUCCGCAGGAGUCAGGAAAUCGUUUCUGAUUAGCUUCUGGAAAGGCAUUAAGAGACGACUAAGGUUUGAGUUGACAUCACUCUUAAACAGAGUCCUCUCAAAUAUCAGCCUCGGGGUUUCAGCAUCAGCGUUCAUGUAUCUCAUCACUUGGAAAAUCCACUCAGGCAUCUCUGUACACAACCUUGGCAAAGGAGAAACCUUAACUUUCUUGACUUUACCACUCUUCCUCUGCUCCACGGCACGCCUCUUGCGGUUUGUCUUCCCUGUUAGGCAUGAAGACGGAGACGAAGAUUGGUAAUUAGGGUUUGGUACGUCUUUUGUCUCUGUCGAAGGUUCAAGACAAGGAAGGUUCAGGAGCGAUGAAGAAGAAGUAGAAGCUCCAUUAAGAUUAUCAAAGAGUUUCUUUUCACUCUCGUCAUCAUAAUCUUCAUCGUAGACAAUCUUGGAUUUACCUUUCUUUAAACGUUGUUCUUCAUCACACACCAUAGGUUCAUCAAAACAAGGGUUUUGUAGGUUGUCUGUCUCAAAAUCAGUAGGGAUUAGGUUAAGAUCGGGAAGCGAUGACGAACAAGUAGAAGCCCCAUUAGGGUUUUGUUGUGUGUAUCUUCUCUUCGCCAAAGACGAUUUGAUUUUCCUCGGGAAAAGAUAGAAGAAACUCAUCUUGCACUUGGAUUCUUCUCGUUUCUCUGCAAGAAGACGACUACGUUGUUCUUCUUCCUCCGCAACCAUAACCGUCACAUACGCCAGUAAACUUAAACCCGACGACAUAUUCUUCCCCGAAUCCGUGAGAUGAUUAUCGUGAUACAUAAUACUACUCAUCGUGAUUGAAUCGAAAGACUGGAAAGUUUCUGAGAGCGACGACGUGAGGAACAAGAAACUUGUAUAUAGAGAGACGAGAAACUGAUCGACGAUUAGAAAAGAAGUACCUUCUCUUGCCUUAUAUAUACUUUACAAUAGGGUUUCAGGUUUCUUUGUUUUCCUAUUUCUCCAUUGAGUUUAGUUGUUUAAUUACUGUCAUUAGUAACUAAUUAUAGCCGUUGUGAUCAAGUGUUUCCUUUUUCACAAGUGUGAGAGAUAGUGAAUUUUUAGGAAGUUUCCUUUCCUUUCAAAUUUCAAUAGCUUUGCUUCACUUUUUUGUAUUUGAUGUAUUAUUAUAUUUUUUGGGCACUUGCCGACUUUGAUAUAAAUUAAAUAAAAUGCAGAAAACAGUGGAGUCUCAAAAAAAUUCAGAUCUUUAGAAAAACAAAACCAAUAUUGUUGUCGAUUGAAUCGAAAAUAGUUUCGAGUAUCCAUUUAUCAUCAAAAAAAAAAAAAAAACAAUUCCUUGAAUAAUUUUUAUGUUUUUUGAAUUUUAUUGGAUGUACGUACAUAAUCAUUUCAACAAAAUUGCAUAAAAAUAGUUGAUGCAAAACCAAAUAUGGGGAGAAAAUUCAAAUAGUUUUCUCAAUUUGAGGUAACUACGAAAUUGCCCCACAUCCUUUAGUAAUUACGAAUUGGACCUAAAACUAUAGAUAAUUACGAUUUUUUCCCUCGAAUAAUAACGAAAUUGCCUCAGUUAUUUCGUUAUUUGUUAAUGCACCCCACAUCUCUCGGUAAUUACAAAAUUUCUGCAAAUCUUCCAAAAUGAAAUUUCUGGUAAUUUCUUAUUUGGUAAACUACGAAUGAACAACAAAGAACAAUGAAUUGGUAAAAUACACAUUUUGGAAUACUCAAUCUCUCAUAUUAUUGCUUAUCCACAAUCAAAUCACACAAUUGUAACAAUGAACAACAAAGAACAAUGAAUCAACAAGAACAAAUGAAAUUAGAAUCUUCGCUCACAUCCCUCAGAUUAUAAUCGCACCCUUCACAGUCUCAUAGCGAAUGAAUCAACAUGCCUUGCUCUGUAACCGCUCCUCAUAUUUAUAGAUGCCUCUGAUACUUGCUUAUUUCACAAGCUUCCCUCUGUUUCCUCACGUGCCUUGCACACACACUCUUAUCAUGCAUUCGCAGUCAUUAAACAGUGUCAUAGUUAUUCUUUAUGGUUACAAGUGUGGGGUUGGUGACUGAUGAAGACAACUGAUCUUAUUCAUCUACUUCUUGGAGCUGGAGUUGGAGAAAUUCGAGAAGAAUGAACAAAUUACGACAAGGUACAUUGAGAAAAUCUCCGGUGAAGCAUAAAAGCACAACUUAUACGUAAUAUUUCUAUAUUUGCUUUUGGAGACAGAACAUGUGUCAGUAAUCGUUGGUUUAGACUUCUAGGUCUGGUUUGGGGUUUGGUACAGAUGGUUUUAUGGCUGCAAAUGUCUUAUGUUGUUGAACGCCCACAAGAUGCUCGAUGAAAUGCCGAAGAGAGUGGCUUGUUUGUAAAAUUGCAGUUUUUUGGUGGUAUAUGGAUGAGAAGCAGAUGAUAGUGAGUAGAGUUUUGUUACUUGGGGGUAGAAAAUUCUCUUCGCCAUGAGAUAGACUAUUAGAGUUAAGCGGGUAAAAACCCGGACUCGUUUUGUGAGACAAAAGAACCUGAAAAAGUUCUCACUUUGACUAUUCUUGCUUCUAUCAAGCCAUUGCAAUUGUUCUUGGAAAAGUGAAACACACACUCUCGUUGUCUCAUCUUGCUGUGAAUUAUCAUUCUUAUCUGCUGAGUUCAAGACUGGAUUAAGCAUGAUUCUUGAAGAUAGGAGUGUGACUGAGAUAAUAUGCAUUCACUGGAAACCAUGGUCUACUUUUCAAAGGUAAUGUCUCUGUUCUUUCAAUUUGAGACAGAACAAAAGGAAAGAAGUAGAUAUUAAGUUAAGUGUGGUAGCUUGAGAAAUGGGAACAAAUGGUUAGAUUUGUAGGACUGGAAAUCUUUAUGCUAGAAAGAAAUAGGGGUAGUAUUGGACAUAACUCUCAAAAGGAAAGGAGAAGGGACAUUGUGUUUGAUUCAAAGCUAAGACAAGGCUGCAUUUGUGUCACUCAAAGGAGAAUAGGAAUUACCUCUGACAGAGUUUGAAAGAAAAACUCUACAAGUAUCAGAAUGUUUAAGAUCGUUCCUGGAGUACAUUCAGUCAUUCAGAUGAAAAGACGGAGAAACGGAGCUGUGGCGGGAAUGUAACUAGUAAAGUACUUUCUUGAGGAUUCGGCAGUGCUCAAGAAGUUUAUGCUGCGUUUGGGUUGUGAGAGAAUGAACAAAGAGUCUAUCAUUUUAAUGGAACUAUUGAGGUUAAGGAGAUAUACUAUGCUUAUUGUAUAGUCAUUGUUGAACUUGCUGAGACUGAUAAUGAUACAUAGGUGUUUCUACACUUAAAUGUGCAAUUUCCAUUUAGGAAAGUUUAGUAUUGGGAUUUGAUGUAUAUAUUCUUACCAGAACCAGUUCUCCAACUUAGGAAAUUUAUUUGUAAUAAUCUGAGUGACGCUCAGUAUUCUUCCAAGGACAAUUUGACAACUACUUGCUAUGGAUUCCUCCUUUAGGUUCCUCAAAAGUUCAUGUUCUCCAUGUAAUGAAAUCAAAACUUGCUUUUUCUCUGACAUUUUUGAUUGUUUUGGUUCUAAAUUUGAUCAAACUGACUGCAUCGAGCAUUUCGGAGGAAUAGUACACAAAACAUUAGCAGGAAUAGAUCAUUUCCAUCAUUACAACAGGUUUAGAGGAGAGAUCUGAGACAACACAAAGGUAUAUUGAACAAUGCAGUAAGUAAAGUAGACAAAACAAGAAACCAUAUUUAUGACCAAAUGUGUUCAUUUCAAACAAUGGUAAAGGUCUGAAACAACAGAGGAGACGGACAAGUUAAUACUACUACUACUAAUCCUAACAAUAGAGGAGAGAACCAGUUACUAUACUAAAAAGCCAAAAACCUCAAGAAUCACUUGAAAUUUGUUAAAUGAGACCUCAAGAGACAAAUGAAACAUAUCAGAGAGCUACCUACCAUGUGUCAAGAGCAAAGCAGAGGACUCCACGGCACCUGAAAGUCCAAAGACCGAUAUUGUCGCCGGCUUUUAAGCUGUUACCUUUGACGACAUCAUUCCAGUCCCAAUUCAAAAUGUAAUUCAAGGUUCCAUGUCCAGAGUCCUUCUCCAUCCCCCAUAUCUUGAAACGCAAACCCCACAUUUUAAAUCUUUGGUUCACAAGAAUCGUUCCCGCACCAAUAUCUUCGUCGUCUUUGUCUUCGUCUUCCUGCUUGGCUUGACACACAAGAAUCGUUCCCACACUAAUAUCUUCGUCGUCUUUGUCUUUGUCUUCCUGCAUGGCUCGACACUCCUCUGGCGUCAAGAAGUCGUUUCUGAUUAGCUUCUGGAAUGGGAUUAAGAGACGGCUGAGGUUAGAGUUGACAUCACUCUUGAACAGAGUCCUUUCAAAGAUCAGCUUCGGGGUUUCAGCAUCAGCGUUCAUGUGUCCCAUCGCUUGGAAAACCCACUCAGGCGUCUCUGUAGACAACCUUGGCAAAGGAGAAACCUUUACUUUCUUGACUUUACCACUCUUCCUCUGUUCCACGGCACGCCUCUUGCGACUUGUGUCGUUCUCCGUUAGGCAUGAAGACGGAGAAGAAGAUUGGUAAUUAGGGUUUGGUAGAACUUUCGUCUCUGUCUUCUCUGACUCAACCGUGUUGUAAUCCAAGAAUAACGAAGCCUCAUAACAACGAAGGUUUAAGAACGAUGA